UUUGUUCCUCAGCGGAUUAGAGAUCCUCGUGCUAUUCAUCGAGAUGGUGUGAUAAGAGAGUAUGACAGUUUAGAAGCUUCUGGCCAGGUGCAUUGCUUUUUCAUAUUUGUUCGUCAUUUUUACUUUGGUGAUUUGUUUUAAUAGAAGAGAGCUUGAGUUAUGUAAGAGCGAAAUAUAAUCAAUGAACUACAAUUUUGUCAUAACAUACUACUAUCUCCAGUAAAAAGGUGAUGUCCUGUAAUCCAAGCAAUCAAUGUACGUUAACUCAAACCAUAAAGUAUUUUCAUAAUAUUAAAAAUGGAUGGUCAAAGUUGUGUUUGGUGGUAUGUGUCAAUUGAAAACAAGAUAUGAAUUUAAUAUAACAGUGUCGAUCAUUAUAGAUCUGGUUUCACUGAGAUAAAAGGCCCCCUUUCUUUGAUUUUUGCACUCACAUUAAGUUUCUAACCAAGCCAGCAUGCAUGGCUUUGUGACGAUGCUAUUAAUAUGUUGUACGCUAAUGUUUUAUUACUCCAUUCUUCAGAUGGCCCUUUACCUGGCAGAAGCUAGCAGAUAUUUUGCAUGCACAGACUUGUUUCGAGAACCUUCUAAGUAUGCAUGGUCUGAUUACUACGAAGAUCAUUUUAUUGUGCCAAACCAGAGGAUUGCUUUAGUAACCAACAAGAGGGUGAUACUCCUUCAGGUAAUGCUUCUUUUUAUCUGAUUCUCUUACUCCCUCUGUUCACUUUUAUAAGACCUUGAAGAUAUUUCAGAUAAUGUGCAAACCAACCCAUUUUGAGUUGUCUGAAACGACUUACAAAAGUGAACGGAGAGAGUAGUACAUUCCUCUCUAUUUUGACUAAACUUGUCCUUUUAUUAGUGCUUGGAUCUAGAUAAAAUGGACAGGAAACCUUCCAAAAUACUUUGGGAUGUCCCUUGGGAAGAAGUACUUGCAUUGGAACUUGCAAAAGCUGGGUAUCAGAGGCCUUCACAUGUAAUCAUACAUCUGAAGAAUUUUAGGAGGUCUGAGAACUUUGUAAGGCUUAUAAAGUGCAGUGUUGAUGAAGAACGGGAAGCUCAGGCUGUUUUACUUUGUUCUUCAAUACGAAAAAUGUGGAGAUCUCACCAGACAGGCACGAAAGUUGUACCCUUGAAGGUUCCUUCUGGCCUGCGCCCUGUAUAUUUUGCAUCAGAUGAUGAUAGAAGGGAAUCUCAGAGUCCUGCUAGGCCUUUGCUAAGCUCAAGAGGAGCGUCCAGUAAUGUUGAGCAUCGACUUAUAAACCACACAGUUAACUUCCAGAAAAUGUGGAGUAGUGAACAAGAAGUUCGGAGCCGGUGUAAACUUCUUGGGAAGCAGGUAAGUUGGCUGAAUUCUUCAUAGAGAUCAAAAGAAGUUCGGAGCCGGUGUACUAAGGUAACCACAAUCAUGAAUUUAUAUUCCAGGUUGCAGACGAUGGAAGGAUUUUUAGCAUCUGGAGACCCCUAUGCCCUAGUGGGUAUGAAACUAUACUGUAUCCAUCUAAUAUACCUAUUUUCUGCUCUGAUGCUCAAAGUAUAGUACCGCUUAUUUGUAGGUAUGUCUCAAUUGGAGAUGUCGCUCAUGUUGGCAUCCAUCCACCACAUUUUGCUGCUAUCUACAAGAAUGUUAACGACAAUUUUGUGCUACCUCUUGGCUAUGACCUGGUAAGUGUUCAGUGAAACAUUUUCUAUUACAUUCUGUAAGGUUGACAGGACAUCAACUAAAUGUCCUAGACCUGUCUGCUUGAUACUUCUAGUCAGCUUUGAGUUUGCACUGUAGUAUAUAAUGUUUUGGCUAUGCAAAACUGAUUUCAGUUUUUGUUUUAUCGUGCACACAGGUUUGGAGAAAUUGCGCCGAGGAUUACAGGAGCCCUGUAUCAUUAUGGCAACCAAGGCCACCUGAGGGAUACGUGGCUCUGGGAUGUGUGGCUGUUUCUGCUUUCGAAGAGCCCCCUCUUGAUUGCGCCUUUUGCGUGAAUGAGAGAUUUGCGGAGGAUGCAGUGUUUGAGGAUCAGAUAGUAUGGGCUUCCUCAGAUGCUUACCCAUGGGGAUGCUACAUUUACCAAGUUCAGAGCAGUUCGCUGCAAUUCAUGGCACUCCGUCUUCCAAAAGAGCAGUCUGAGCAGAAGCCUAAGAAGAUCUUGGAGGCGUAUCUCCAGCGAGCAUCAGAUUAAUGAUCCUAUGAGGCGAAGCAGACAUGCCAUGCAUCGGAGACAUCAGGAGCGGUAUAAUACUCCCUCCGUCCCGACACUAUGAUAGUGUAAAAAAUGAUCUCACAUUUUGGGACGGAGGGAGUAUGAUAUAGGGAAAUGAGAAACUUUGCUAUGCAAAAGAGAAGACUCAGCAAUCUUGCGCAAGAUAGUUUGUCUUUGAUAUGAAAUAUUUUUGUACAGUUUUGGGCGGCAUUAUGUUAUUGAGCAUGGCAUUUUUGCGGGGAGAGAUAAUGUGCUAGCUUGGCUUUGUUUUUCGGCUGUUGCUGGGAUUUGUAUCUCUGCUUGAUGCUUAUCAAAUACAGUGUAAACUAGUAGGUGGGAAUGGCUGUAAGUGUACAUUUUGUAACGCGUUGUUAUAGUGCUCUUUCUACUGUGGUGCUGUUGCUAAGAUUUGAAGUUUUGCUUGAUGUUGUCAAAACUAGCCAACUGAACCCCGUUGUUCAAACACAAAUCAGAAGGUCACAGGCUUACGGCCCACCUUGUCGCUCGAGUCGUGACACAAAGGGCGUGUUUGGUUGCCCGCACCGAGCCCAACCAGGCCCGCGUGGGAAGGGAGAGGCCUGUUUGGUUGCCUGCACCGAGCCCAACCAGGCCCGCGAGGGAAGAGAGAGGCCUGUUUGGUUGCCUGGUUUUCCUGUUGGGCCUGCAUCGCAUGCUUCUCAAAGCAGCCCAGAGCCUGGUUCGCUGGAAACCCUCGGAUCGGCAGUUUCUCGCGAGCCAGGCUGAGUGCGGCGCGAGGUUGCACGGGCGGGAGCGAGGCGCGGGCGAGGGGGGAUGGCAGGAGAUGGAAAUCUGGCGCGCCGUCCCGGCGCCAAAUUAGCCUCACCCCCUUUCACUCGCUCAUCCAUAGCCACUGCCCCCCUUUCUUCGCUACUGCCUCACCACCGGCGGCGGCUGUGAUUUCAGAUCUGCGCUAUAGGCGGCAGCGGCGCGACGGAAGAGGCGGCGGCGUUUGCGGCGGAUCUGGUGCUCCCCUUGCUAUUGGCCACCGUCUGGUCGACCUACUCUAUGCCAUAGCCCCCCUACGCCGUCCUUGUCUCCGAUGCCGGUAAGCAGCACCCCCUCCCCCUUUGUUAGCUCAGUGGUUAGGCCUUUAAGCUAGGUGUAGGAUCGAUUUCCCACUGAACGAACCGUUGAUGUCGACUAGGCUAUGGACGCACGGAUGAGGCUGAUAAUCCAGGCAGCAACACUGAUUAGUGUGAUUCAGGCAUGGGUCAUGUUCAUGCACCAGAGAGCUAUUCGUCGUGCUGGGAGACCGUUGAUCCGCUAUGGUCCAUUGUUUCCCCGGGAACAGGAGAGGAUCCAAAAUCUGAACUACAUCUACAACUGCAAUGACGUCGAGGCUCUGUGGAUGCUUAGAAUGAAAAGAGCACCAUUUGCCAGGCUUGUCGAGACCUUCAGGAGCAGGGGCCUGUUACAAGAUAGCAUCAACACCAGUGUCGAAGAGCAAGUGGCCAUGUUCCUCCAUGUUGUUGUCCAUAACCAGAGGUUCAGGGUCAUUCACAACACGUUCAGGAGAUCAAUGGAGACCAUCUCUAGGUACUUCAAGCAAGUGCUUUUUGUUGUUGGGGAGCUUAGAGGAGAGAUGACUAGGAGACCAUCUGGCCAGACUCCACCCAAGAUUCACAGAAGCCCAAGAUGGUAUCCAUACUUCAAGGUGAGCAUUGACAAUAUACACUUUUCAUGGCUUGAUAUGCUUGUAUUGUUCAAGUUCAGCACUAACACAGGCUAGUGAUGCCAUUUUCAGGACUGCAUUGGGGCGAUAGAUGGUACUCAUGUCACUGCCAGAGUUCCUAGGUCACAGUCUGCAGCAUACAGGGGGAGGAAGCACUACACAAGCCAAAAUGUGCUUGUUGCUGUUGACUUUGAUCUGAAGUUCACAUAUGUGCUGGCUGGCUGGGAGGGGUCAGCGCAUGAUGCAAACAUUCUCACUGACAGCAUGAGUCGACCUGAUGGGAUCAACAUCCCCGACGGCAAGUUCUACCUUGGAGAUGCUGGCUAUGCAUGUCGGCCGGGUAUUCUUCCACCCUUCAGGAAAACAAGGUACCAUCUCAAUGAGUUCUCUGGUAGGAACUUUCCUAGGACUGCACAGGAGCUGUUUAAUCUCAGACACUCCAGCCUUAGAGUAACUGUUGAGAGGGCAUUUGGAGCUCUGAAGAAUAGGUUUAAGAUCCUGCAUCAGAAGCCAUUCCACCCAUACUCCACUCAAGUUAAGCUAGUUCUUGCUUGUUGCAUUCUGCAUAAUUGGAUCCUCCAGUGGGGCUUUGAUGAACACGUGCCUGAGGAGGAAGAGGUCGAGCCUGACGAUGUUGUUACCUCUGGCCAUGGUGUGGAGGCAUUUGACAUGACGCUUGGAAGAACAAAAGGUUGGAGUGGGCAGAGGCAAUGUGGCUUAACAGAGGUCAGUGCAGGAUUUGAAGAAGAGGAAGAAGAAACAGCAGCAGCAGAAGCACAGAAGAAGAGGAAGAAGAAGAAGCAGCAGAAGCAGAAAGGAAGAUGAAGAGGAAUAUGAAGCACCAACACCGAUGAACUAUCCCCUAUUUAGCCAAUGGCUCUUAAUAAUUUGAUCUGUCAUUUGAUUGUAGUUAGGAUGAGCUGUCAUUUGUUUAACUAGCUGGCACUAUGUUCAGAUAGGUCACCACUAGUUAGAAGUGGUGACAACACCUUAUGCAGGUUGCAACCAAACACCAUGUCAUAUGUGCACCUAAUGCAAUGCAGGCAACCAAACGCUGGGUCAAAAAUGGUUGUCUCAUGCAACUAGGGGCAUGCAGGCAACCAAACUAUGUGCAUCCGGGGUUUUUUGGCCUGCAUCCCCUCAAACCGGCUCAAUAGAGCCAGGCUCGCUGGGCCAGGCUGAAUCAGCAAUGUAACCAAACACGCCCAAAGUCUUAACAAAUGCAGAAUGCAGAGGACCGACCCAUAUCAGCCAAGUGCAAAAACGCAGAGACAAGCAUGCCGGGCUCCGAAGGGGAUCUUGUUCCUAAAAACCAACCCUAGCAUGCGAAUUGAUUGGCCAAACAAGGAGAGCGGACGUCUUGCAUGCAGUUAGGUCAACUUCAGUGCACGACUCCAUUCCGUAAAAUGGACAAACCCUUCGGCCCAACGUGCGACGGCCUGAACCCAUCUCGUCCGUUUUGUGUCCGUCUGACCCUAUUUUCAGACCAAAUUUGGGCUGGAUUUGCAGCCAAAGUGGACAGAACCAGACGCGUUCUGCGCCCUCUCCGUCCGCCGCGCAGCUCCUCCGGCACGCAUCCCCGCCCUCCCUGACCUCCAAGCCCCACCACCCUGCCCGGCCCCCUUCGUCGAGCGCGCCCGUGGCUCCUGCCACUGUUCGACCAUGACCCGCACGGCGUCGCGACGCGUAUGCUGGGGCAGAAGACCUUGGCGGCUUCCUCCUGGCCUCCUGACACCCACCCGAGCCCCGACCAAGCCAGCCGUAGGCCGGCGUAGGCCCAGCUGGCCGCCAGCGCCGACCGCGGCAGCGCCAGGACCCCUCCUUCCUCCCGGCCUAUAAAUGGCGACCCUUGGCCUCCAUUUCAGCUCACAUCUUCUUCCCCCCUAACCAUUACUGGCCGACGCCCUCCAUACUUCUCUACGACAAGGCUCUACCGCCGAUGAGCUCAACUCGAUUUGAUCCACCUAUGGAUCUCCAAGCCAAGCCGCCACCACAGUUCGUCUCCCCUUGUUUGAUUGGGCACGCCCAAGCCCAGCACUGGAGCCAGCUCAAUUGAAGCCCCCUCGCCGGAGUUCGAGCUCGACUGAAGAUCGCCACCGCCCGUGAGGAAGGAAUCGUCGCCGUCCGACCACCUCCGGCGAUGCCACGGGUACGUGAAAACUCGCUAAAGAGCGCUCGUUUCAGUGGGGCUAUUGUCCCCUCUCCUCGCUGAUGAUCCCUUGCCGGAGUUCCCCGUGCCUCGGCCGUGUGUUUUAAUAGAAAACCUGACGGGUGGACCCCACCCGUCAGUGACUCACUUACGGCCCGAAGCGAUACGCUGGCCGUGGCGUAAAAUAUGCCUUCGACGUGGCACGCCCUGGGUUUUUCUUUAUUUUAGUUUAAAAUCAAUUCAAAAAUGCUUUUGUUGACUUAACUUUGACCAUGAAUAACUCCUAAACUAUAAGUACAAAGCAAUUGAUUCUUUUUGCAUUAUUUUUGUUAUUCAAUUUCCUUUCUGUUGGCAAAGUUUGAGAUAUAUUUGAGCUGUCUAGAAUUUCUGGAUAGAGUUUUAGUAAUUUGCUAUUUAUUGAAAAUUAUUUCCAGAGACAAAUAAUUUAGGAGGUGAAGAUCAGGAGUUUUGUGACCCUCCACCAAUUCAAGGCAAGCCAUUUCAUCCAUUUGCUUGAUGGUAUGUGCAAGGCCAUGGGUUCAAACUUGCUCGAUAUCGGUUACUUUACUUUAUAUGCUUGCUUUACUUUAUGAUCCAAUUUUUUUGAUAGAGAUUGGUAAGAAAAGUAUGGUAGAACACCAUUAGAAUAGUGAAGAGAUCCACCACAUUACUGUUGAACUUUUUUUUUUUACGAAAAACUGGUAAUUUCUUUCAAUCACAUAAAACCUAAGCAACUAAAACUAUAGCGACGAGGAAACCAUUCGGAGAAAGACUUUACUUAAGACAAUGGUCUCCUUCGGGCACUUUCAAUUGAGAAUAUAUUAUUUGAGAUGAGUAGAUUAGAGUUGGAGUAUUAUAGAACCCCCCUUUAUACUACAACCUUAAUAACCGUUCAAUCCGGUGCCACGAAACCAGACUUCCUCGGUACAAUCACAUUUUCCCAAAUGCGAGGACCCUAUUUCAUUUGUAUCUAUGUCUCUUCCGUGUAUCUCCAAAGAGGGAAACUGAGAUGUGUAGACUUCCUGUGGCCGAGAAGUUUCCAUCUAGUCAAGAGAGCCUGGGUCAGUUGAUGUGCACAGGAAAGUUGAUUGAUCCCCGAGGGGAGACAAGUGGUGCCACGAGGUGGCAAGGAUCCAGAUCCCCUCUCCGAGGGCUAGCCCGUGGGAGGUUGAAGAUACGGUUAGAGGGCCAUGCUAUGAGUGAGGAUUGUUGGACUAACAACAUAUGGUGCGGGUAAAGUGUACGACCUCUGCAGAGUGUGUGUUGAAACUAUUCGAAUAGCCGAGUCCCCAGCAAUGGGACACCAUUCGUGUUAAGUCACACUAUUUUGACCAGACACCCAUUUACAUUUACUUUAAGUCUUAUGCUUUAGUAGUCUAGUAAUUACCCUCAUAAGCCGGAUGAUCGUGGAUCACGGCGGAGAGAGAGGUCCAUCGGACGUUAAACGAGUAAUUUAUUUUCAAACAAUUGUUAUGCUAGUUGUACUCAUACUUGUCUUUAGUUUGAUGCUUUAUUUGUGUAACUUGCUCUUGCUUGCUUGCCUUUGGAUUGUUUGUGAGCUUGCGAGUACAUUCUAAGCAUUCAUCUGGCUUAUCAUGCGAGAUGCAGGAGAAGCCUCGUAGAAGGACAUCGAGAGUAAGAGCUAGAUUGUGUCCCAACAGUGUCCCUUUGGACUGGACUCCCGCUAGAGUCCCGCCUUCUGCUGUGUUAUAAGCCCUCUCCUACUAUUGCUUCAUUAGCCACUAGGCCUUGGGCUUAAUAAUAGAGCACUACUGCUCGAAUUGUACUACCAUGUUGAGCAAGAUUAUUGUAUUAUAACUCCGUGUACUAUGUGAGUACUCUAUUAGAAUGUGGUUGUUCUAUGCCAACCUAUAGUCAUGUUCCAGAAGACAUGGAUCUCUGGGCUGGAACACGAAGGCCUCCGGUUCUCUGAAUAGGGGUGUCACAAGACUUGGCAUCUGAGCCACGCUGACUGUAGGACACGCUAGCUAGAAAAAGGGGACCUAGAGUCGAGAGCCGGUAGGGAUUCUACGUAAUUAGUUACAUUUGAUUGUGCACAACAUGCUAGCUAACCAUUCAUACCCUAACGCUGAUAUUUUCAUCAUGUUGAUUGUAGAUGGCCACCACUCCCAUUGACUACACCCCGGAACCCAACCAGUACAGCUUCCUGCAUCUGCUUAAUAGUGUUUGGCACUGCUUCCAUCCCAAGGGAGAAGAACCUCAGUACCUCGUGUACCAAAUACCUCUAACAGACUCGGUCUACGAGUACCACGCCAAUGUCCAACUCAUGGCCAACAUGACCGGAUGCAGCCACACGUACCAAUUCCUCGAACCACCUACUUCCACUUCGGAAUUAGCUGUCCAGGCCACAGCCGAAGCAACAAUUAUUGGCCUCAACCGAGAAGAGUCGCGAAUGCGAGAACACCCCGCUUUUCGUUUCUAUCCCACCCUAGCCCCAGAUAAGUGAAGCGUGAUGUUUAUGCCUAUCCGUGAGGAAGACAAUGCCUCCGCAGCACUCAUGUCGCACUACAUGAUUGCUGAGUAUAGCCUACUCACCGUACUAGUGAGAGACACCAACCUAAACUGAAGGGCCCUGGUCUUGGCCCACAGCACCAGUACCAUCCCCACACCACCACCCACUAGUACAACGAGCUGCUAAACAAACGGUUUUUAACCCCUUUCCGCGACGGUCUUUGGAACCGUCGCCAAGUGAGUGUGGGCGAUAGGGGGGGUCCUUCCCACACGACCCAGAAACCGUCGGGGAUAUGCCCUCCUGGCACACACGCUUGGCAAAAUGAGGUCGUGUGCGACCGAAGAGCACUCAAAUACAGAAAUACGUACAGUAGUGCUAAAAUAUACAAUUAUACAGGCGAAAUCAUUUCCGGUCGUAAGUACAUCCCACACAGUCAGUCACCGCUAAACGUUUCCGUUCAUAUAUACAUCCCACACAGUCACUCCAAGAAAAACGUUUGCGCAAGGUGGCGUAAGGCAAACAGUUUUCAAGAGAAUGUCAUGUGUGAUUGUUCAUUGAUCCAACACGGUUUAUUCCUAGACACUGUGUGCGUUGCCUGAGGUCAUCGCCCACGGUGUUUUCUCAAUAACCAUUUGCAAUAGGAAAACCCAAUUAGCAAGCUAAUUGGACAAUUAGCAGGCUAAUUGCCCUAUUAUUAUUAAUUCAUUUACUAAUCUAAUUGACAUUCAUAUUAAGCACAUAAUAUAUUCCAUUUCCAUAUUAAGGAAGCAGGAUUUCAUAAUUGAAAUACAUCGGAGUACAACAUGAUAUAGCUUCAGCACUCAGCUACCCCAUUACACGACUGCACCAGCAGCAAGUUUCCCAUGCAACAUCUAGAACCUUUCGAAAUUAGCAUCAUAGACGGUACAUAGAGAGAUGCAUCUCAUCUGGAAAACUGCUGAAGCGGAAGGCGAAUAUUGAGCCUUCAUUCAUGUUGAAGGUCUUUGCAACUUUAGGCCAGUGCCUGUGGAUGAUUGACCGUCCAUCCUUAGACCUCUUCAGGAACACUUCAAUAUUGAAUCGUGGGUGUUGUAUGAAAACUUUCCUCGCCUCCUGACCACAGAGGUGGUUUGAGAGGUAAUCAUCAGUGAACCCUGAAAACAAGGAUGUGCAUAAAUAUCUUCUCGAAAUGGGGCAAAGGAACAAAAAAGGCAAGGUAUAAUAGUUAGUACCAUCUUGUAAACCUUAGUGCUUCCCAUUGUUUCCCUGCAACACAUAUAUGGUAGUUAGAAUCAGGUUAAGUAAAUGUUCGCAUGCUAUCAGUAAAAUAUGUUGAUGAUAAAUAAGCACAUUGCAGAUUCAUCAGAUUAUUCAAGCCACAUGGAAAACCCAUUUAUCCAAACCAAGCAUGAUUAAGAACUAGGAAAUAUAGCACUUGUAUAUGUUUCUCAUGUAUUAAGUGCAGCCAAAUUCGAUUUAUUCCUCACAUGGUAUACAAUAAUAGAAUGCAGCCAGAACAAUUGAACAUCGCAUUGUAGAAUUGAACCAAGCAGUUAACUAAACACCACAACAAAUGAACCAAACCUUAACUGAGCACCACAUUGCACAAUAUAACAUACUUCUAAUAGAAGAUCAGACAACUAACCAAACCAAGCAUGCUUAACAACUAGGAAAUAUAGCACUUGUAUAUGUUUCUCAUGUAUUAAGUGCAGCCAAAUUCGAUUUAUUCCUCACAUGGUAUACAAUAACAGAAUGCAGCCACAACAAUUGAACAUCGCAUUGCAGAAUUGAACNNNNNNNNNNNNNNNNNNNNNNNNNNNNNNNNNNNNNNNNNNNNNNNNNNNNNNNNNNNNNNNNNNNNNNNNNNNNNNNNNNNNNNNNNNNNNNNNNNNNNNNNNNNNNNNNNNNNNNNNNNNNNNNNNNNNNNNNNNNNNNNNNNNNNNNNNNNNNNNNNNNNNNNNNNNNNNNNNNNNNNNNNNNNNNNNNNNNNNNNNNNNNNNNNNNNNNNNNNNNNNNNNNNNNNNNNNNNNNNNNNNNNNNNNNNNNNNNNNNNNNNNNNNNNNNNNNNNNNNNNNNNNNNUGAACAUCGCAUUGUAGAAUUGAACCAAGCAGUUAACUAAACACCACAACAAAUGAACCAAACGUUAACUGAGCACCACAUUGCACAAUAUAACAUACUCCUAAUAGAAGAUCAGAUAGUUAACCAAACCAAGCAUGCUUAACAACUUGGAAAUAUAGCAAUUGUAUUUGUUUCUCAUGUAUUUAGUACAGCCAAAUAUGAUUUAUUUCUCACAUGGUAUACAAUAACAGAAUGAAGCCACAACAAUUGAACAUCGCAUUGCAGAAUUGAAUCAAGCAGUUAACUAAACACCACAACAAAUGAACCAAACGUUAAUUGAGCACUACAUUGCACAAUAUAACAUACUCGUAAUAGAAGAUCAGAUAGUUAACCAAACCAAGCAUGCUUAACAACUUGGAAAUAUUGCACCCUGAAGAAUUGAACAUCACAUUUGCAGAAUUGAACCAAGCAGUUAAUUGAACACCACAUUGCACGACAUAUAGAACAUAUACACUAUAACAGAAGAUUGCAUGGUAAAAGUAGAUAACACAAUUCACUAUAAUUUGUUAAGGAAAGGCAGUAGCUAGCAAACUAAACAUGGGUCCUUAUAGUGAGCUAAUAAGACAAGCUACUCCUCAUUGUCGGAGAUAUCGAUGACGAUUGGCUCCUUGGACAUGGAAGAGGGCGAGGCCUCCGCAUCGUGGGUGCCCUCCUUGUAGUGGUGAGUUGCCUGAGCCGCUCGGGCACCAACCUGCUGGCUCUCGAGAUGAGGUAAGCACGUGCACGCUGAGAAAACACCUCGUAGUCUUCGUCAAAGGCACCGACGGUGGCCUCGAGAAAACGCCACGAACUGUCGUUUAAAGCAGCCAACCGCGUCACAGCGUCGGUGCGCGAGGCGUCAACGGUGGCCUUCAUGGCGAGGUGCUCCUCCAAGAUCUGGGGGUCGGCACGAAUGACAGCCAUCGCGACCUCAUCCACGCGUGCGGCCGCGAUUUGCUUCUCUGCUGCCAAAUGCUCCUUGAGAUCCUGGCUAUACUGCGUGCACCAUGGCUUAGGCCGACGCUUAUUUGGUGGAGGGGUCGGUGAUUUGGGUGGAAGGUGUCGCGCUCGCGCCGGCGGUCGGGGCAUGUGGGAUGUGGAAGGAGGAGGAGGAUGGGGGUCGGGUGUGGAUUACCUGCCUGGAUAGGCGAGGCCGAGCAGCGUCAAGGAGGGUCGCCGGCGAGGUGGCGGCGCUGCAAGCAAGGAGUGAAGGUUUCAACUUGGAAAGGAAGGCGGAAAGGGGGGAAAUGUGGCUUUUGGUAAGGGGGAGGGGGCAGGGAGGUAGAUAUUUCCGCGGAAGCCGAAAAUUUGGAAUCGCUUCAGCUAAAAACUGGCGCGCAAAGUGUCAUCAGACACGGUCCCUUAUUCAGAGCGGGCUGUGGACUGUAGCCAUCACACCUUCUCGCGUAAGCCGUAUGCGUACUAUACUCCGACGGUGCUCCAAGAUAUUUUGUUCAGCAUCUCACAGGGUUGGUUAUAAUAAGCUGUGUGGGAUCUACUUGAUUUUUCGUCUUGAUUUAAAUUACAUAAUGGGGUCACAGAGGCCAUGGACGGUGUUUGAAUUGCUAGACCUUUUAUCUGUAGUGAACAAGCAACUAUAUGUGUGUCAUAAAAGAAUUGGAAUUAUUCAGGGUUCGUUUGGACAUGUUUAUGCAUUAAGUGAGUUUUCAAUGCAUUUAUGCGCAUAAUUCAAAUUUGAACUACAUGCACAUGCUCCAGUGCAUAUAAAUUGGUUGAAAAAUCAAAUCUUUGUCCUUGGGUGCAUGCUUAGGUCCCAUGCAAAAAAUGGGAAUGAAUGUCAAACACCCUGCCACCAUCACUCGGCCGCAAACAUUGAGAUACCUGGUAUUUAAAUUCUAGUAAUCCAAAACUCGUCUGAAAUUCAUGAAACUUGGCAUGGUAUCAUGGAGCGGCAUCAACAUGCUGUGGUAAAAAAUUUGUCCCAUUUGGGGCAGGUUUGGGUAUAAGCUUCUCACAAACCAGAGCUUCUCACAACAAGCAUGAUGGUUUCGAUAGGGAACGUCCCACCUUUGGGGACGAAACGAUAUCCAUUGCCUCUUAUUGCUUUCAAAUUUUUUCUCGCGUCAACAUAGAACAACAGGAGUGUUGUGUCAAUUUUUGUAAUUUUUCGGGGUUCGUUUGGACAUUGUUAUGCAUUAACUGAGUUUUCAAUGCAUUUAUGUGCAUAAUUGAAAUUUGAACUACAUGCACAUGCUCCAGUGCAUAUAAAUUGGUUGAAAAAUCAAAUAUGUGUCCUUGGGUGCAUGCUUAGGUCCCAUGCAAGAAAUGGGAAUGAAUUUCAAACACCAGGGCAUCGUGGAUUGCCUGCAAAACGUUGAGAUACCUGGUAUUUAAAUUCUAGUAAAUCCAAAACUCGUCUGAAAUUCAUGAAACUUGGAAUGGUAUCAUGGAGCGGCAUCAACAUGCCGUGGUAAAAAAUGUGUCCCAUUUGGGCCAGGUUUGGGUAUAAGCUUCUCACAAACCAGAGAUUCUCACAACAAGCAUGAUGGUUUCGAUAGGGAACGUCCCACCUUUGGGGACGAAACGAUAUCCAUUGCCUCUUAUUGCUUUCAAAUUUUUUCUCAUGUCAACAUAGAACAACAGGAGUGUUGUGUCAUUUUUUAUGAUUUUUCGGGGUUCGUUUGGACAUUUUUAUGCAUUAACUGAGUUUUCAAUGCAUUUAUGUGCAUAAUUCAAAUUUGAACUAUAUGCACAUGCUCCAGUGCAUAUAAAUUGGUUGAAAAAUCAAAUAUGUGUCCUUGGGUGCAUGCUUAGGUCCCAUGCAAGAAAUGGGAAUGAAUUUCAAACACCAGGGAACCAUUGAUUGCAGGCAAAACGUUGAGAUACCUGGUAUUUAAAUUCUAGUAAAUCCAAAACUCGUGUGAAAUUCAUGAAACUUGGCAUGGUAUCAUGGAGCGGCAUCAACAUGCCAUGGUAAAUUUUUUUCCCAUUUGGGGCAGGUUUGGGUAUAAGCUUCUCACAAACCACAACUUCUCACAACAAGCAUGAUGGUUUCGAUAGGGAACGUCCCACCUUUGGGGACGAAACGAUAUCCAUUGCCUCUUAUUGCUUUCAAAUUUUUUCUCGUGUCAACAUAGAACAACAGGAGUGCUGUGUCAUUUUUUGUGAUUUUUAGGGGUUUGUUUGGACAUUUUUAUGCAUUAACUAAGUUUUCAAUGCAUUUAUGUGCAUAAUUCAAAUUUGAACUACAUGCACAUGCUCCAGUGCAUAUAAAUUGGUUGAAAAAUCAAAUAUGUGUCCUUGGGUGCAUGCUUAGGUCCCAUGAAAAAAAUGGGAAUGAAUUUCAAACACCAGGGCGUGGAUUGCCGGCAAAACGUUGAGCUACCUGGUAUUUAAAUUCUAGUAAAUCCAAAACUCGUCUGAAAUUCAUGAAACUUGGGCAUGAUAUCAUGGAGCGGCAUCAACAUGCCGUGAAAAAAUUGUCCCAUUUGUGGCAGGUUUGGGUAUAAGCUUCUCACAAACCACAGCUUCUCACAACAAGCAUGAUGGUUUUGAUAGGGAACGUCCCACCUUUGGGGACGAAACGAUAUCCAUUGCCUCUUAUUGCUUUCAAAUUUUUUCUCGUGUCAACAUAAAACAACAGGAGUGUUGUGUCAUUUUUUGUGAUUUUUCGGGGCUCGUUUGCACAUUUUUAUGCAUUAACUGAGUUUUCAAUGCAUUUAUGUGCAUAAUUGAAAUUUGAACUACAUGCACAUGCUCCAGUGCAUAUAAAUUGGUUGAAAAAUCAAAUAUGUGUCCUUGGGUGCAUGCUUAGGUCCCAUGCAAGAAAUGGGGAUGAAUUUCAAACACCAGGGCACCGUUGAUUGCUGGCAAAACGUUGAGAUACAUGGUAUUUAAAUUCUAGUAAAUCCAAAACUCGUCUGAAAUUCAUGAAACUUGGCAUGGUAUCAUGGAGCGGCAUCAACAUGCCGUGGUAAAAAAUGCGUCCCAUUUGGGGCAGGUUUGGGUAUAAGCUUCUCACAAACCAGAGAUUCUCACAACAAGCAUGAUGGUUUCGAUAGGGAACGUCCCACCUUUGGGGACGAAAUGAUAUCCAUUGCCUCUUAUUGCUUUCAAAUUUUUUCUCGUGUCAACAUAGAACAACAGGAGUGUUGUGUCAUCUUUUGUGAUUUUUCGGGGUUCGUUUGGAAAUUUUUAUGCAUUAACUGAGUUUUCAAUGCAUUUAUGUGCAUAAUUCAAAUUUGAACUACAUGCACAUGCUCCAGUGCAUAUAAAUUGGUUGAAAAAUCAAAUCUGUGUCCUUGGGUGCGUGUUUAGGUCCCAUGCAAAAAAUGAGAAUGAAUUUCAAACACCAGGGCACCGUGGAUUGCUGGCAAAACGUUGAGAUACCUGGUAUUUAAAUUCUAGUAAAUCCAAAACUCGUAUGAAAUUCAUGAAACUUGGCAUGGUAUCAUGGAGCGACAUCAACAUGCCAUGGUAAAAAAUUUGUCCCGUUUGGGGCAGGUUUUGGUAGAACCUUCUCACAAACCACAGCUCUCACAACAAGCAUGAUGGUUUCAAUAGGGAACAUCCCACCUUUGGGGGCGAAACGGUAUCCAUUGCCUCUUAUUGCUUUCAAAUUUUUUCUCGUGCCAACAAAGAACAACAAGAGUGUUGUGUCAUUUUUUGUGAUUUUCGGGGUUCGUUUAGACAUUUUUAUGCAUUAACUGAGUUUUCAAUGCAUUUAUGUGCAUAAUUCAAAUUUGAACUACAUGCACAUGCUCCAGUGCAUAUAAAUUGGUUGAAAAAUCAAAUUUGUGUCCUUGGGUGCAUGCUUAGGUCCCAUGCAAGAAAUGGGGAUGAAUUUAAAACACCAGGGCACCGUUGAUUGCUGGUAAAACAUUGAGAUACCUGGUAUUUAAAUUCUAGUAAAUCCAAAACUCGUCUGAAAUUCAUGAAACUUGGCAUGGUAUCAUGGAGCGGCAUCAACAUGCUGUGGUAAAAAAUUUGUCCCAUUUGGGGCAGGUUUGGGUAUAAGCUUCUCACAAACCAGAGCUUCUCACAACAAGCAUGAUGGUUUCGAUAGGGAACGUCCCACCUUUGGGGACGAAACGAUAUCCAUUGCCUCUUAUUGCUUUCAAUUUUUUCUCGCGUCAACAUAGAACAACAGGAGUGUUGUGUCAAUUUUUGUAAUUUUUCGGGGUUCGUUUGGACAUUGUUAUGCAUUAACUGAGUUUUCAAUGCAUUUAUGUGCAUAAUUCAAAUUUCAACUACAUGCACAUGCUCCAGUGCAUAUAAAUUGAUUGAAAAAUCAAAUAUGUGUCCUUGGGUGCAUGCUUAGGUCCCAUGCAAGAAAUGGGAAUGAAUUUCAAACACCAGGGCACCGUGGAUUGCCUGCAAAACGUUGAGAUACCUGGUAUUUAAAUUCUAGUAAAUCCAAAACUCGUCUGAAAUUUAUGAAACUUGGCAUGGUAUCAUGGAGCGGCAUCAACAUGCCGUGGUAAAAAAUGUGUCCCAUUUGGGCCAGGUUUGGGUAUAAGCUUCUCACAAACCAGAGAUUCUCACAACAAGCAUGAUGGUUUCGAUAGGGAACGUCCCACCUUUGGGGACGAAACGAUAUCCAUUGCCUCUUAUUGCUUUCAAUUUUUUCGCGUGUCAACAUAGAACAACAGGAGUGUUGUGUCAUUUUUUGUGAUUUUUCGGGGUUCGUUUGGACAUUUUUAUGCAUUAACUGAGUUUUCAAUGCAUUUAUGUGCAUAAUUCAAAUUUGAACUACAUGCACAUGCUCCAGUGCAUAUAAAUUGGUUAAAAAAUCAAAUCUGUGUCCUUGGGUGCAUGCUUAGGUCCCAUGCAAGAAAUGAGAAUGAAUUUUAAACACCAGGGCACCGUUGAUUGCCGGCAAAACGUUGAGAUACCUGGUAUUUAAUAGUAAAUAUAAAACUUGUCUAAAAUUCAUGAAACUUGGCAUGGUAUCAUGGAAAGGCACCCGACAUGCUGAGCUAUUUUUCGUGUCCAUUUUGAGAGAAGGCGCACUCGAAUAAUGACAGCCAACAAAGGCAUUUUGAAAAAAUAGCUGCCACUUUAAUAUCUAAAACAUUUGUAUAAUUCAAACCGUGUGCGUUAUGUUAACCAUUCACGUGACACCACGUGUCUUGGUUUUAAUGGCUAUAGGAGGUGUCGUGUGGACAGCUGCUUGACCUUGACUGAACGGGAGGCGUGCGAGCGCAGUCCAGUGCACAGGCUCACCGGGAAGCGUACGAGCCGUUCAACGCAGGAUCUGUGCCUCUCUUCAACGCAAACGGUUCAGAUUACGGUAUGCAAAUUAAAGCCAGACUUCGGCGCUAAGCCAAGAGACACUGCGAUUUGUCAAAAUAUGCAGCUAAAAAUCAAUAGCACUAUCUAUUUUUUGCAACUCAAAUUCAGUAAUUAAGCGUAUAUUUCAUUCAUACUAGAGAUUAAGUAGUCGUUCUCACCGGGAAGCGAGACAGCCUUGGACCGCCGCCCGCCUCGCUCCCACUGGUCUAUAUUAAUGGCGGCGCCGAGCGGCCGCACCCCCCCAUCCUCGCCACACACACAAUUCCUCUCUCUCCGCCCGCAUCCUCGAUGCCGCUCUGAGUCCUCAAAGCCGCCAAUGUACGAGGAUGCCGCCGAAGUGCCCCAUCGGAGGGAGUGGCGACGACGCCGGGGCUGCUGAAGCACCGGAGCACGACGUAAAUAUGGAGACAGAGGUUUUCGUCACCGCCGACGAGGUGGAGAACGAGGCUGCCAACAAGCGGAGACGGGUCGGGAAAGAACCGCAAGCGACUCCAGCAGGCCUAGACUUCAUCAACAACCUCCCCGAUGAUAUGUUGAUAGUCAUCAUAUCCCUCCUCCCAAUCAAAUAUUGGGCGAGGACAGCCACCCUUUCCCGGCGGUGGAACCCCCUAUGGCUCCUCACCUCUGUCGACCUCCUCAACGCCCACAAGCUCUGCCAUGGCUAUCGCCAAAGCUUGGAUGCGUUCUCCUAGAUCCUCGGCAGUCACCAUGGCCCAAUCAAAGGCCUUAUCACGGGAAAGUUCCGUUCCAAUGGCAAGUACCAAGACAAGCUUGACGAGUGGUUCCGAUCCCCCGCCAUAGAUCAGCUCGAGAAGCUCAGUUUUAAUGAUGGGCAUAUGCACUUGCUGCCAACGCCCGCGCUCCGCUUCGCGCCCACGCUGCGCCUCGCCAAGUUCAUGAACUGCCAUCCCCCCUUAAUGACGCGCCCGCUCUUUUUCUACCACGACUGAAGCACCUCGAGCUCGUCGCCGUCCGCAUCCCAAAGGAUGACAUGGAGCGCCUGCUCCGCGCCUGUACUGCACUCGAGUUCCUUCGUCUUCAGGCGAUGAAUUGGUCGAGUACCUUGCACAUCACCUCCAGGACUCUCCAGACUAUUUAUUUGUGUUGCUGGUGCUACAACGAGAGAUCACAAAAGGUGGAACACAAUAUGGUCAUCCAGGACAUACCUUCACUUGAGAGAUUACUUGUAGUUGAUCAACAGGGUCCAACAAGAAUCAAUGUCAUUUCUGCGCCGAAAUUGAAAGUGGUGGGCUACUCGUCUGUCAAAUACUACAACUUUCAGGUUCAACAGUCGCCUUAUACCACUCCUUCUUGAUAUCAACGUUAUUUCUAGUUUAGAAGAUGUAUGUUCGUCUGUCAUCCAGCGAAGCUUCACCCAGACUCUGGGCACAGUGAAGGUUUUGGCACUAGAAUCUGUCGGCCCCAACCUGGACCAAGUUGUCAGUUGCCUGAGAUGCUUUCCAUGCCUGAAGAAGCUGUAUAUCGAGGUGAUGUUCCUUUCCUGUUAAAUGUUAACCAUAAGGGAGUUCAAUUUUUGGCACCUUUUCCCAAGUUUACAAUGACAAUGUACUACGAUUUCUGAAGGAAUUUUGGAGGAUUUUAGGACAUACACCCCCACCCCAUAUUGGUUGCUUCAUUCAUAUGGUUACAAUUGUCAAUAAGCAUUUCUCCUUUGGAUUCAUCUGUACUAGUUUUCUUAGGGAAUUUUUCAUCCAAUCCAACCUCUUGUGAAGAAGGCUACAUGUUUCUAGAUUGUAAUCAAACGCCCAUGUUAAUCAUGCCAGAGCGAAGAUGGCACAUUGGUGCAUUUUACAAAUCCUGCAAACCAAAUGGGCGUGUAGCAGUGUUCAAAACUGCAUGUAGGCACUAACACGUUCUCUUCUUUUGCAGAUAAUAAUAGGCCCGAAGGUGGAUAAUGUUUAUAACGACAAUCACAUCGAAUGCCUGGAUCUGCAUCUCUCAAAUAUUACUUUGAAAUCCUACCGAGGGACCUUACCGGAGAUUACACUCGCCAGGUUCUUUCUUGCCAGAGCAAAGGUGUUGAGGGUACUGAGGUUGAACACACAUUUAAUUAGGAAAGAUGAAUGGUAUGAUUAUCAGAGCUGGCAGGUACUGCGGAAUGGAAGAGCCUCCAAAAAUGCCAAACUUCGUAUUGGAAGAGCAUAUGGCAAAGCAAUUGGAAGUCAUUGUGUCAAACCCAUACAUGACUUGUCAGCGGCUGACCCCUUUUCAAAAAUGACGCAGCUUGCAAUGUUUGAAUUUGGGCGUUGUAAUCUUUGAUUUUGAACCUUGCAAUAUUUAUGGUAUUUGUUAUAUUGAACUGUUUCUGUUCUCUUGUCUCAACGCAAACAGUUCAUCCAAGUGAACCGCAUGUCGUAUAUCGCACACACCUUGAUCUGGCUGACCGUUUCUUUUGUGUUGCCUAAUCACAAAUAGUUCAUCCGAGUGAACUGUAUGCUGUACAUCGCACACACCUUGAUCCGGCUGACCGUUUCUUUUGUGUUGCCUAAUCACAAACAGUUCAUCCGAGUGAACCGUAUGAUGUACAUCGCACACACCUUCAUACGGCUGCCCGUUUCUUUUGUUCCUCCUCAUCGAAAACGGUUAAUUGAACUAAACCGUAUGCCUUGAAUUGCACACGCAACUAAAAUCUGAACCGUGUUUGAUGCAUCCGUCAUCGCAAACCUUUUGCACCUUUUCUGACGGUUUUUACACCACUGUUUGCGAUUAUGGCUUCGCACAUAGUUUCGUCGAAGAGUCUCUGAUCAUAGUGUCGCGUUAGCAGCAUCCUGCAGUAGUGACCUCCAACUAGGCCAAGGACCAUCGUAACUAGACUAAGAGCCGCAGCCCCCACUGGACCCACCCACUCCUCUAGUUAACCUAGGACCCGAACAGUAGUAGGUAGCACUGCAUCGCAUCAUUGUAGAAAUAAGUAGUCUGCUUGUAGAAUGUUUAGUCUAAACCCGUGUAAGAGCACUUGGCUAUGAGUUUAUUUGAGCAAUGUUAUUAUUCGAGUUUUGUGUGCCUUUAUUCGACGAUCUUUCUCCACCCUCACUAAUGGGAAACUACCACUAUUCACUUGGGGAAGGAUAUAGGAUGGGGAACCUCAACUGCCAUGGAAUUACCUCAGAGUUCAGUACGGUAGUCCGCCGGGGAGAGAACAAGGGACCUCUCCAUUUCCCUGCCAAUUACAAGCAACCACCAACCAACUCUUGGAGCUGAUAAACGGCUCCGGUCACCUAGGGUUGCAAGAGGACCGAAUGAGACGCAUCCACCUGACCAGCCAGACUACUACCAACCGUAGCAUGCUCAAAGCUCAGAAUACUCCCAAGGAAGGGCAGUCACCGAGGCAGACAUAGCAAUGGAAAUAUAUGCCACCCCAAUUGUGUGCCAGUUUCUGGACAUCUUCGCCGAUAAACCACCCACAAGACCACUAUCCAGAUCCUCGGAAUUUUCCAUUAAGCUAAAACAAGGAGUCAAGCCCUUGAGCUCACCUCAGCCCCGCAUGACCCCUGCUGAGACAACCCAGCUCCAAACAAUGCUAGACGAGAUGCAGUUAAAAGGAUUUAUUCGUCCAAGCAGUUCGCCAUGGAGAGCACCGGUCUUCAUCCAAAGAGGGAAAUGGAGAACUAUGAACCAACUACCACAACCUGAAUAAGUGCACAUUUCCACCUGAGAUGUACCUACUCAAGAUUACCAACUUAUUCGCACCACUGAAGUACGCAAGGGUAUUCUCCCAGAUCGACCUACAACAUGGACACUACCAAAUAAGAGUCAAAGAAGACAUAUAGAAGACUGGCUUCACCACCAAAUUCGGUACCUUCGAGUUCGCCUUCAUGCCUCCCGGAUUGAUAGGCUCCCCCACCUACUGCAGAACCUUAUUAAACAACAUGAUAUGGGACUUUCAAGGCCAGUUUGUACUUUUGGUCGCCGAUGACCCCAUCAUCUACUCCAACACCAAGGAAGAACACCAACAACACCUUCGUGUUGUUCUGCAAGUCCUGCGUACCCAUCACCUAUAUGUCAACCUUCAGAGAAGCACAUUUUGGUGAAGCGAAGUCAAAACAAUGGGGCACACAAUAUCCUCCCUAGGAUUAACUAUUAGUUCCCAAAAAAGUUGAACCGAUAAUAAGUUGGGAAACCCUAUUCACUCCCAAGCACAUACGUGACUUCCCGCGAGAAGCCGUCAGCUACGGUCGUUUCAUCAAAGGAUUCAGUAAAUUCACCAACCCACUAACCGAGCUGUUAACAGAAGAACGUCUAUUCAAAUGGACUGAGGCAUGCGAGUCCAAAUUCCUGGAGAUAAAGACCCGGAUAGCCAUGGCACCAAUACUAGCACUACCAUACGUCUGCAAGCGAUUCACCAUCCAGUACGACACUUCUACACUAGGCAUCGGUGGAGGCCUCCUACAAGAAGGAAGAGCCAUCGCCUAUGCAUCCCGCCGCCUCCAGCCUCAAGAAGAAGGAUGAUCUGCCAAAGUACUAGAGCUAAUAUUCGUAAUACACGCGCUGAAGGCAUGGUGAUGCCACCUCCAGGUCACUGAUGUGAGAUAUAUGACGACCACAACGAGAUUAGAUUCAUCUUCAACCAACCCGACACCAACCUCAGCAAGCGCCGCUACCUGAAUGCAGUCCGCAAUAGUGCCUUGGAAGAUUAUAACCCUUUGGAAGAAGGCGAGAUGGACACCCUCACUCCCAAAACCAUGAUUUGCAACCCAGUCCUGCAAAAAGAAUACAUCCGACUCAACAUGAUCCUCCAUGGACUACCAAGUGUAGACUCCAGGAAGAACCGGGACAUGAUAGAAGAAGACAUCAGCAAGGCUCAAGAAAACCACGCCAGCCUCCAACAAGUCAUUAAAGACGCCAAGCUAGGAGCAACAAGGACCUUUCAACUAGAUCCACAAGGCAUCCUAACACUACAAAAAAACACUUCUGUAAUGAUACGUGUUUGUCAUAGUAGGUCGCGUUUUCUGUCAUGCAUGUACAUCCAUGACAAUUUUAUGACAGAAUCAAGAUAUCAUACCUAUGGUGUCGUUGAAGUGUUCCAUGAUAAUACUGAAAUUAUCAUCACGGAAGUGUCCACUUCCAUGACGAUAAAUGACGCAUCAUGGAAGUGCUUUCUUUAAGGGUAACCGACACAUGGCAUCCACCAUAACCGGUCGCCGUUAAGCUAUCGGGCCCGGUUUUGGAUCCGAUAACCUGUUAACAACAAUGACCAAUGCCGAUUUUCCAUGUGUAAAAUUCUCAUUGGCUGGAGGAAACACGUGUCGGCUCCGCGAUGGGAAGAUGUCAUCCAUCCAAUGGAGUAGACGUGCCUAUGAUACGUUGACACAUGGCACGGCCCAAUAGAGGCCCAUAUAGGUUAAAAAGGCUGGCUCAGUCAAAGGCUCGUAUGAUUUAAUAAGGUACUAGUGGGCUGGCCCACUAAUGGCCUGCUUAAACAUGGCCCAUUUACGGCCCACCGCCAGAUCUGGCACGUUAAUUGUUCGCUCAGUCUUUUGGCCCAAUUACGACCCAGUGAGUUUUCGGCCUAUUAGAGGCCCGAUGUAGACAUGGGACCAUUUUAGCCCGGUGUGUCUUUCGGCCUGGUAAUGGCCUGUGCUUCCCAUGGGCCAUAUAUGGUCGGACGCGACAUUCGACCCACUAACUAUUGGGAAACGUUGCAUGGAAAACAAAAAAUUCUACGCACACGCAAGAUCUGUCCAUGGAGAUGCAUAUGAACGAGAGGGGAGAGUGUGCCUACGUAUCCUCGUAGACCAUAAGCGGAAGAGUUUAACAACGUGGUUGAUGUAGUCGAACUUCUUCGCGCUCCAACCGAUCAAGUAUUGAACGUACAACACCUCCGCGUUCAGCACACGUUCAGCUCGGUGACGUCCUCCGCCUUCUUGAUCCAGCAAGACGGUGAGGUAGUAGAUGAGUUCCGGUAGCACGACAGCGUGGUGACGGUGGUGGUGAAGCUAUCUUCGCAGGGCUUCGCCUAAGCACUACAAAAAUAUGACCGAGGGUGUAAACGGUGGAGGGGGCAACCGCACACGGCUAAGGUAAUGUUCUGGUGUGCUAGGCGCCCCCUCCCACAUAUAUAUAGGUGGGGGGAGGAGGGAGCAGCCAGGAGGGUGCCCCAAGUAGGCCGAAUCCUACUUGGGGUCUCCUCCCAAGUGGCGCCCCCUGCCAUGUAUAGGUGCGAGGGGGGGGGAGGCACGGGAGGGAGCCCCCCUUUUCCUUUCUCCAUGAGAUGGGGAAGGCAGGAGGGGCUAGCCUUCCCCCCUUUUCUUCCCUAGGGCUGGCCGGCCAGGAAGAGGGGCGCACCGGCCCCUUGUGGGCUGGUCUGUCUCCUCCUNNNNNNNNNNNNNNNNNNNNNNNNNNNNNNNNNNNNNNNNNNNNNNNNNNNNNNNNNNNNNNNNNNNNNNNNNNNNNNNNNNNNNNNNNNNNNNNNNNNNNNNNNNNNNNNNNNNNNNNNNNNNNNNNNNNNNNNNNNNNNNNNNNNNNNNNNNNNNNNNNNNNNNNNNNNNNNNNNNNNNNNNNNNNNNNNNNNNNNNNNNNNNNNNNNNNNNNNNNNNNNNNNNNNNNNNNNNNNNNNNNNNNNNNNGAUGACUACCCGGUGCAUCCCGAAACUCUUCCGGUGUUCGACUACCAUCGUCCUAUAUAUCAAUCUUUACCUCUCGACCUAUUCGAGACUCCUCGUCAUGUCCGUGAUCUCAUCCGGGACUCCGAACAACAUUCGGUCACCAAAUCAUAUAACUCAUACAACACUAUAUCGUCAAUGAACGUUAAGCGUGCGGACCCUACGGGUUCGAGAACUAUGCAGACAUGACCGAGACACUUCUCUGGUCAAUAACUGAUAACCCACAAGUAUAGGGGAUCGCAACAGUUUUCGAGGGUAGAGUAUUCAACCCAGAUUUAUUGAUUUGACACAAGGGGAGCCAAAGAAUAUUCUCAAGUAUUAGCAGCUGAGUCUCAAUUCAACCACACCUGAAAGACUUAAUGUCUGCAGCAAAGUAUUUAGUAGCAAAGUAGUAUAGAAGUAACGGUAACAGCGGCAAAAGUAACAGUAGCAGUUUUUGUAGCAAUCGUAACAGUGGCAACGGAAAAGUAACUAAGCAAAGAUCAAUAUGUGAAAAGCUCGUAGGCAAUGGAUCAAUGAUGGAUAAUUAUGUCGGAUGCGAUUCCUCAUGCAACAGUUAUAACAUAGGGUGACACAGAACUAGCUUCAGUUCAUCAAUGUAAUGUAGGCAUGUAUUCCGAAUAUAGUUAUACGUGCUUAUGGAAAAUAACUUGCAUGACAUCUUUUGUCCUACCCUCCCGUGGCAGCGGGGUCCUAUUGGAAACUAAGGGAUAUUAAGGCCUCCUUUUAAUAGAGUACCAGACCAAAGCAUUAACACUUAGUGAAUACAUGAACUCCUCAAACUACAGUCAUCAUCGGGAGUGGUCCCGAUUAUUGUCACUUCGGGGUUGCCGGAUCAUAACACAUAGUAGGUGACUAUUGACUUGCAAGAUAGGAUCAAGAACUCACAUAUAUUCAUGAAAACAUAAUAGGUUCAGAUCUGAAAUCAUGGCACUCGGGCCCUAGUGACAAGCAUUAAGCAUAAAAAAGUUAUAGCAACAUCAAUCUUAGAACAUAAUGGAUACUAGGGAUCAAACCUAACAAAACUAACUCAAUUACAUGGUAAAUCUCAUCCAACCCAUCACCAUCUAGCAAGCCUACGAUGGGAUUACUCACGCAUGGCGGUGAGCAUCAUGAAAUUGGUGAUGGAGGAUGGUUGAUGAUGACGUUGGCGACGGAUUCCCCUCUCCGGAGCCCCGAACGGACUCCAGAUCAGCCCUCCCGAGGAAGAUUAGGGCUUGGCGCGGCUCUGUAUCGUAAAACGCGAUGAAUCCUUCUCUCUUAUUUUUUUCUCCCCGAAAGUGAAUAUAUGGAGUCGGGGUUGAGGUCGGUGGAGUCCCAGGGGGCCCACGAGGCAGGGGGCGCGUCCCAGGGGGGCGCCCUGCACCCUCGUGGACAGGGUGCGGGCCCCUGAUGCUGAUUCUUUCGCCAAUAUUUUUCAUUAAUUCCAAAACGUGUCUCUGUGGAUUUUCAGGUCAUUCCGAGAACUUUUAUUUCUGCACAAAAAUAACACCAUGGUAAUUCUGCUGAAAACAGCGUCAGUCCGGAUUAGUUCCAUGCAAAUCAUGCAAGUUAGAGUCCAAAACAAGGGAAAAAGUGUUUGGAAAAGUAGAUACGUUGGAGACGUAUCAACUCCCCCAAGCUUAAACCUUUGCUUGUCCUCAAGCAAUUCAGUUGACAAACUGAAAGUGAUAAAGAAAAACUUUUACAAACUCUGUUUGAUCUUGUUGUUGCAAAUAUGUAAAGCCAGCAUUCAAGUUUUCAGCAAAGAUUAUGAACUAACCAUAUUCACAAUAACAUUUAGGUCUCAUGUUUACUCAUAUCAAUGACAUAAUCAACUAGCGAGCAAUAAUAAUAAAUCUCGGAUGACAACACUUUCUCAAAACAAUCAUAACAUGAUAUAACAAGAUGGUAUCUCGCUAGCCCUUUCUGAGACCGCAAAACAUAAAUGCAGAGCACCCCUGAAGAUCAAGGACUGACUAGACAUUGUAACUCAUGGUAAAAGAGAUCCAGUCACAGUCAUACUCAAUGUAAAUUAAUAGCAAUGCAUGCGAAUGAAAGUGGUGCUCUCCAACUGGUGCUUUUUAAUAAGAGGAUGAUGACUCAACAUAAAAGUAAAUAGAUAGGCCCUUCAUAGAGGGAAGCAGGGAUUUGCAGAGGUGCCAGGGCUCGAGUUUUGAAAUAGAGAUAAAUAAUAUUUUGAGUGGCAUACUUUCAUUGUCAACAUAACAACCAAGAGGUCUCGAUAUCUUCCAAGCUACACACAUUAUAGGCGGUUCCCAAACAGUGGUAAAGUUUAUACUCCCCCACCACCAACAAGCAUCAAUCCAUGGCUUGCCCGAAACAACGGGUGCCUCCAACUAACAACAAUCCUGGGGGAGUUUUUUUUGCAAUUAUUUUGAUUUGAUUUGAGCAUGGAACUGGGCAUCCCGGUUACCGGCCAUUUUCUCGUGAGUGAUGAGCGGAGUCCACUCAUCGUGAGAAUAACCCACCUAGCAUGGAAGAUAUAGACAGCCCUAGUUGAUACAUGAGCUAUUUAAGCAUACAAAUCAGAAUUUCAUUUGAAGGUUUAGAGUUUGGCACAUACAAAUUUACUUGGAACGGCAGGUAAAUACCGCAUAUAGGAAGGUAUGGUGGACUCAUAUGGAAUAACUUUGGGGUUUAUGGAAAUGGAUGCACAAGCAGUAUUCCCGCUUAGUACAAGUGAAGGCUAGAAAGAGACUGGGAAGCGACCAACUAGAGAGCGACAACAGUCAUGAACAUGCAUUAAGAUUAAUCAACAAUGAGUGCAAGCAUGAGUAGGAUAUAAAUCACCAUGAACAUAAAUAUCGUGGAGGCUAUGUUGAUUUUGUUUCAACUACAUGCGUGAACAUGUGCCAAGUCAAGCCACUCGAAUCGUUCAAAGGAGGAUACCACCCUAUCAUACCACAUCACAACCAUUUUAAUAGCAUGUUGGCACGCAAGGUAAACCAUUAUAAACUCCUAGCUAAUUAAGCAUGGCAUGACCAACUAUAAUCUCUAAUUGUCAUUGCAAACAUGUUUCAUUCAUAAUAGGCUGAAUCGGGAACGAUGAACUAAUCAUAUUUACAAAAACAAGAUAGGUCGAGUUCAUACCAGCUUCUCUCAUCUCAAUCAGUCCAUCAUAUAUCGUCAUUAUUGCCUUUCACUCGCACGACCGAACGGUGUGGAUAAUAAUAAUAGUGCACGUGCAUUGGACUAAGCUGGAAUAUGCAAGCAUUUAAUACAAGGGAGAAGACAAGGUAAUAUGGGCUCUUGGUUAAAUCAACAAUAAUGCAUAUGAGAGCCACUUAACAUUUUCAUCGUGGUCUUCUCCUUUUGACCCCCAAAGAAAAGAAAAGAAAUAAAACUAUUUACACGGGAAAGCUCCCAACAAGCAAAAGAAGAACGAGAAUUUUUUUGGGUUUUCUUUUAAUUACUACUACAGGCAUGGAAAGUAAACUAGCUAAAAGCUACAACUAAUUUUUUUGGUUUUUCUUGAGGUUUUUCAAACACACAAGAAGAAGGCUUAGAGAAGAAAAUAAACUAGCAUGGAUAGUACAAUGAAAAAGUAUGAGCACCGACAACUAGAAUGAGUGUGUGAACAUGAAUGUAAUGUCGGUGAGAAAUACGUACUCCCCCAAGCUUAGGCUUUUGGCCUAAGUUGGUCUAUGGCCACUGCUGGCGUGGCAGAUAUCCAAAGUCGUAGCUGGGGUUGUACUGAGAUGCAGCAGCUACUGCCUGAAGAGUUGCAGCUCGGAGGCGAGCUGCUUCCGUCCUCCUCUCAUACUCGUUAGCCACCUCCCUGGUUAUAACAUAUCUCCUUUUUGCCUGAAAGUUAAAGAAAGUAGGAGCAGGGAGGGCAACAUGGACAGUGCGCUGUCUGUCAAAGAUUAGUCGAUACUGGAGGAACUGUUCAUUCCUCUCAAGAAACUGAUGGCGAACCAUAGCACUAUAAUCUAGAUAAGCAGGAGGUAACUCCAUAUCAUUUUCAUGUAUGGGUACAUCAAGAUAAUUAGCUACACGAGUUGCAUAAAUUCCACCAAACAAAUCUCCACUUGUACCAUUAAGAUGCAACCUUUAUGCAACAAUGGCCCCCAAGUUAUAUUAUUUAUCACCUAAUACCGCACUCUUGAGGACACUAAGAUCUGGAACGCACAUGUGACAAGCCUCAUCUUUACCGUUAAUGCAUCUACCUGUAAAGAGAGCAAAUAAUGUAUGGAAGGGGAAUGAAUUCUCCCUAUGGUAGCUUGUGUGAUUUCUCUAGAUUCCCCCACAGUGAUACUAGCAAGAAAGUCUUUAUAUUCAGAUUUGCGAGGUUCACUAACAUUGCCCCACUGCGGGAGUUUACAAGCAGUAUUAAAAUCUUCUCGGUCCAUGGUAUAUGAUUUAUCAUAAAGAUCAAAUAAAACAGUGUGAGAAUUGCGUGAGGAUGUAAAUUUAAACCUCCUCACAAAGGAAUCAGUUAGGUAGUGGUACUGUAGGCACUUAUCUGACACGAAGUCCUCAAGAUCAACAAUACGCACAUACGCGUCAAAUUCAUCCUUGAUGUCUGCCUGGACCAUAAACUCUUCUAACGUCCAUUCACAAGGCCGCACUUGAGCUUCCCUCGGUGGUUCAUCGUCCGGCUCGCGUAUCGCGAGCCUUGGUCCUUGCUUCCUUGAGGAACAACCUUGGUACAUUUUCCUAUGCAUUUUUCUUUCUCUGAAAAUUUCUGAAAUUUUUAGUGACUCAAAAUAAAAGUGAACAAAACUAAACAAGAUUGAUAGCAACUACUCCCAAAAGUGCCUAGAGGCUAUAUCAUGCAUUAAAACUACUUUGGGCCAUAUAAAUUUGACAUGCAAUCUCAAGAACAUGGUCACCUUAGCAGCAAAAAUUUGCAAUAAAUAAAGCACUAGAACAAAAACUAAUUGGACCAUUGGAGGAGUUACAUACCGAAGAACAAUCUCUCCAAACAGUUUUGUGAAUGGAGCUUUGAGCAAAGAGGUCGAAAAUGGCAGCAAGAUGAGCUAGAACGCGGGUUUGAGCUAUGGGAGGAUUUUUUCUGGAGGAAGACAAAGUGAGUGGGUGCUGGAAUAAGUGGAGGGGGUCCAUGUGGGGCCCACGAGGCAGGGGGCGCGCCCCAGGGGGUGGGCGUGCCCUGUGCCCUCGUGGCCAAAUGGUGGGCCCCCUGGUGUGUUCUCAGUGCCAGACAUUCUUAAAUAUUCUACAAAAAAAAUCAUAUUUCAUUUUUAGGGCGUUUGGAGAACUUUUAUUUUCGGGGUAUUUUUUCUGGCAAGGAUAAUUCAGAAAACAGACAGAAAAUACUAAUUUUGCUUUAUUUAAUCUAAAUAACAGAAAGUAAAAGGAGGGUACAGAGAGUUGUGCUUUUUCUAACUUCAUCCAUCUCAUGCUCAUCAAAUGGAAUCCACUAACAAGGUUGAUCAAGUCUUGUUAACAAACUCUUCCCGAAUAACACGAAACCGGAGAAUUAUUGAAUAACACUAGGUUACCUCAACGGGGAUAUGCAUGUCCCCAACAAUAAGAAUAUCAUAUUUCUUCUUGAUAGUAGGAAAAGGGAAUUCAAAACCUCCAAUAGUAAUCGUUGAAAUUUUUCCAAUAGAAUUGAUACUGUGGACUUGAGGUUGUUUCCUCGGAAAGUGUACCGUAUGCUCAUUACCAUUAACAUGAAAAGUGACAUUGCCUUUGUUGCAAUCAAUAACCGCCCCUGCAGUAUUCAAAAAGGGUCUACCGAGGAUAAUCGACAUACUAUCGUCCUCGGGAAUAUCAAGAAUAACAAAGUCCGUUAAAAUAGUAACGCUUGCAACCACAACAGGCACAUCCUCACAAAUGCCGACAUGUAUAGUAGUUGAUUUAUCGGCCAUUUGCAAAGAUAUUUUAUUAGGUGUCAACUUAUUCAAAUCAAGUCUACGAUAUAAAUAGAGAGGCAUAACAUUAACACCGGCUCCAAGAUCACAUAAAGCAGUUUUAACAUAGUUUCUUUUAAUGGAGCAUGGUAUAGUUGGUACUCCUGGAUCUCCUAGUUUCUUUGGUAUUCCACCUGUAAAAGUAUAAUUGGCAAGCAUGGUGGAAAUUUCAGCUUCCGGGAUCUUUCUUUUAUUUGUAACAAUAUCUUUCAUAUACUUAGCAUAAGGAUUCAUUUAAGCAUAUCAGUCAAACGCAUACGCAAAAAGAUAGGUCUAAUCAUUUCAGCAAAGCGCUCAAAAUCCUCAUCAUCCUUUUUCUUGGAUGGUUUUGGAGGAAAAGGCAUGGGUUUCUGACCCAUGGUUCUCUUUCUUUACCGUGCUUCCUAGCAACAAAGUCUCUCUUAUCAUAACGUUGAUUCUUUGAUUGUGGGUUAUCAAGAUCAACAACAGGUUCAAUCUCUACAUCAUUGUUAUUGCUAGGUUUAGCAUCAUCAUGAACAUCAUCAUUAACAUUAUCACUAGGUUCAUGUUCAUUACCAGAUUGUGUUUGAGCCUCAGAAAUAGAAAUAUAAUUGGGAUUCUCAGGUGUGUCAAUAGCAGGUUCACUAGAAGCAUGCAAAGUCCUAUCUUUUUUCUUUUUCUUCAUCUUAGAAGGACUAGGUGCAUCAACAUUAGUUCUCUGAGAAUCUUGCUCAACUCUCUUAGGGUGGCCCUCAGGAUACAAAUGUUCCUGAGUCAUUUUACCCCCUGUAGUCAUAAAUCUAAUAGCAUUAUCAUUUUUCUUAUUAUUUAAUUCAUUGAGCAAAUCAUCUUGUGCUUUAAGCACUUGUUCUACCUGAGUGGUAACCAUAGAAGCAUGUUUACUAAUAAGUUUAAGGUCACCUUUAACUCUAGACAUAUAAUCACUCAAGUGUUCAACCAUAUAAGCAUUACAUUUCAAUUGUCUACCAACAUAAGCAUUGAAGUUUUCUUGUUUAACAAUAAAACUAUCAAACUCAUCCAAGCAUUGACUAGCAGACUUAUUACGAGGAAUAUCACCUUCAUCAAAUCUAUAGAGAGAAUUUACCUUUACUACCUGUGUCGGGUUAUUAAGACCAUGUAUUUCUUCAAUAGGUGGUAAAUUCUUAACAUCUUCAGCUUUAAUACCCUUUUCUUUCAUAGAUUUCUUUGCUUCUUGCAUAUCUUCAGGACGGAGAAAUAGAAUACCCCUUUUCUUCGGAGUUGGCUUAGGAGUUGGUUCAGGAAGUGUCCAAUCAUUAUCAUUAUUCAAUAUAUUAUUCAAUAGCAAUUCAGCUUGCUCAACAGUUCUUUCCCUGAAAACACAACCAGCACAUCUAUCCAGGUGGUCUCUGGAAGCAUCAGUUAGUCCAUUAUAAAAGAUAUCAAGUAUUUCAUUUUUCUUGAGAGGAUGAUCGGGCAAAGCACUAAGUAAUCGGAGAAGCCUCCCCCAAGCUUGUGGGAGACUCUCUUCUUCAAUUUGCGCAAAAUUAUAUAUUUCCCUUAAGGCAGCUUGUUUCUUAUGAGCGGGGAAAUAUUUAGCAGAGAAGUAAUAAAUCAUAUCCUGGGAACUACGCACACAACCAGGAGCAAGAGAAUUAAACCAUGUUUUAGCAUCACCCUUUAAUGAGAACAAAAAUAACUUAAGGAUAUAGUAGUAACGAAUUUUUUCCUCAUGAGUGAAUAGGGUGGCUAUAUCAUUCAAUUUAGUAAGAUGUGCCACAACAGUUUCAGAUUCAUAGCCAUAAAAAGGAUCAGAUUCAACCAAAGUAAUUAACUCAGGAUCGACAGAGAAAUCAUAAUCCUUAUCAGAAAUACAGAUAGGUGAAGUAGCAAAAGCAGGGUCAUAUUUCAUUCUAGCAUUCAAAGACUUUUCUUUCAGCUUAGCUAACAGUUUCUUAAGAUCAUAUCUAUCUUUGCAAGCAAAAAGGUCUCUAGCAGUUUCUUCAUCCAUAACAUAAUCCUCAGGCACAUCAGCCAAUUCAUAUGUAGGGGGAGAAUCUUCAUCAUCACUUUCAUCAAUAUUAUCUGUUUUAGUAAUUUCAUUCUCUCUAACCCUAGCAAGUUGUUCAUCAAGAAAUUCACCUAAUGGCACAGUAUUAUCAAGCAUAGAAGUAGUUUCAUCAUACGCAUCAUGCAUAGCAGAAGUGGCAUCAUCAAUAACAUGCGACAUAUAAGAAUCAAUAACAGGUGUAGGUGUCGCAAAUUUACUCAUAACAGAAGGUGAAUCAAGUGCAGAGCUAGAUGGCAGUUGCUUACCUCCCCUCGUAGUUGAGGGAAAAAUCUUGGUUCUUUCAUCUUUCAAGUUCCUCAUAGUGAUCAACAGAUAUAAAUCCCAAGUGACUCAAAGAAUAGAGCUAUGCUCCCUGGCAACGGCACCAUAAAAUAGUCUUGAUAACCCACAAGUAUAGGGGGUCGCAAGAGUUUUCGAGGGUAGAGUAUUCAACCCAAAUUUAUUGAUUCAACACAAGGGGAGCCAAAGAAUAUUCUCAAGUAUUAGCAGCUGAGUUGUCAGUUCAACCACACCUGAAAGACUUAAUAUCUGCAGCAAAGUAUUUAGUAGAAAAGUAGUAUAGAAGUAACGGUAACGGCAGCAAAAGUAACAGUAGCAGUUUUUGUAGCAAUCGUAACAGUGGCAACGGAAAAGUAACUAAGCAAAGAUCAAUAUGUGAAAAGCUCAUAGGCAAUGGAUCAAUGAUGGAUAAUUAUGUCGGAUGUGAUCCCUCAUGCAACCGUUAUAACAUAGGGUGACACAGAAAUAGCUCCAGUUCAUCAAUGUAAUGUAGGCAUGUAUUCCGAAUAUAGUCAUAUGUGCUUAUGGAAAAUAACUUGCAUGACAUCUUUUGUCCUACCCUCCUGUGGCAGCGGGGUCCUGUUGGAAACUAAGGGAUAUUAAGGCCUCCUUUUAAUAGAGUACUGGACCAAAGCAUUAACACUUAGUGAAUACAUGAACUCCUCAAACUACGGUCAUCACCGGGAGUGGUCCCGAUUAUUGUCACUUCGGGGUUGCCAGAUCAUAACACAUAGUAGGUGACUAUUGACUUGCAAGAUAGGAUCAAGAACUCACAUAUAUUCAUGAAAACAUAAUAGGUUUAGAUCUUAAAUCAUGGCACUCGGGCCCUAGUGACAAGCAUUAAGCAUAACAAAGUCAUAGCAACAUCAAUCCUAGAACAUAAUGGAUACUAGGGAUCAAACCCUAACAAAACUAACUCGAUUACAUGGUAAAUCUCAUCCAACCCAUCACCGUCCAGCAAGCCUACGAUGGGAUUACUCACGCACAGCGGUGAGGAUCAUGAAAUUGGUGAUGGAGGAUGGUUGAUGAUGACGAUGGCGACGGAUUCCCCUCUCCAGAGCCCCGAACGGACUCCAGAUCAGCCCUCCCGAGGAAGAUUAUGGCUUGGCGGCGGCUCCGUAUCGUAAAACGCGAUGAAUCCUUCUCUCUGAUUUUUUUCUCCCCGAAAGUGAAUAUAUGGAGUCAGGGUUGAGGUCGGUGGAGUCCCAGGGGGCCCACGAGGCAGGGGUGCGCGCCCCACCCCUUCAACCUCGUGGACAGGGUGUGGGCCCCCUGAUGCUAAUUCUUUCGCCAAUAUUUUUCAUUAAUUCCAAAACGUGUCUCCGUGGAUUUUCAGGUCAUUCCGAUAAGUUUUAUUUCUACACAAAAAUAACACCAUGGCAAUUCUGCUGAAAACAGCAUCAGUCCGGGUUAGUUCCAUUCAAAUCAUGCAAGUUAGAGUCCAAAACAGGGGCAAAAGUGUUUGGAAAAGUAGAUACGUUGGAGACGUAUCAAUAACCAAUAGCAGAAUCUAGAUGCCCAUAUUGGCUCCUACAUAUUCUAGGAAGAUCUUUAUCGGUCGAACCGUUAUGACAACAUACGUAAUUCCCUUUGUCCAUCGGUAUGUUACUUGCCCGAGGUUCGGUCAUCGGUAUCUUCAUACUAGUUCAGUCUCGUUACCGGCAAGUCUCUUCCCCUAAUACGUCAUAUCAUAACAAACUCCUUAGUCAUUUGCUUGCAAGCUUAUGAUGUGUAUUAACGAGAGGGCCCAGAGAUACCUCUCCGAUACUCGGAGUGACAAAUCCUAAUCUCGAUCUAUGCCAACUCAACAAACACCUUUGGAGAUACCUGUAGAGCAUCUUUAUGAUCACCCAUUUAUGUCGUGAUGUUUGAUAGCACACAAGGUAUUCCUCCGGUAUCCGGGAGUUGCAUAAUCUCAUAGUUGACAUGAAGAAAGGAAUAGCAGUAAACUGAACGAUCAAUAUGCUAAGCUAACGGAUGGGUCUUGUCCAUCACAUCAUUCUCCUAAUGAUGUGAUCCCGUUAUCAAAGGAAAACACAUGGCUAUGAUUAGGAAACCUUAACCAUCUUUGAUCAAUGAGCUAGUCUAGUAGAGGCUUACUAGGGACACGGUAUUUGUUUAUGCAUUCACACAUGUAUUUAAGUUUCCGAUCAAUACAAUUAUAGCAUGAAUAAUAAAGCUUUAUCAUGAAUAAGGAAAUAUAAAAUAAGAACUUUAUUAUUGCCUCUAGGGCAUAUUUCCUUCAGUAUCCCACUUGCACUAGAGUCAAUAAUCUAGAUUACAUAGUAAUGAAUCUAACACCCAUGGAGUCUUGGUGCUGAUCAUGUUUUGCUCGUGGAAGAGGCUUAGUCAACGGGUCUGCCACAUUCAGAUCCAUAUGUAUUUUGCAAACUUCUAUGUCUCCAUCCUUGACCUUUUCACGGAUGGAGUUGAAGCGUCUCUUGAUGUGUUUGGUUCUCUUGUGAAACCUGGAUUCCUUCGCCAAGGCAAUUGCUCCAUUGUUGUCACAAAAGAUUUUCAUUGGACUCGAUGCACUAGGUAUUACACCCAGAUUGGAUAUGAACUCCUUCAUCCAGACUCCUUCAUGUGCUGCUUUCGAAGCAGCUAUGUACUCUGCUUCACACGUAGAUCCCGCCAUGACGCUCUGAUUGGAACUGCACCAACUGACAUCUCCACCAUUCAAUAUAAAAACGUAUCCGGUUUGUGACUUAGAGUCAUCCGGAUCAGUGUCGAAGCUAGCAUCAACAUAACCAUUUACGACGAGCUCUUCGUCACCUCCAUAAAUGAGAAACAUAUCCUUGGUCCUUUUCAGGUACUUCAGGAUGUUCUUGACCGCUGUCCAAUGAUCCACUCCUGGAUUACUUUGGUACCUCCCUGCCUGACUUAUGGCAAGGCACACAUCAGGUCUGGUACAUAGCAUAGCAUACAUGAUAGAACCUAUGGCUGAGGCAUAGCGAAUGACUUUCAUUUUCUCUAUAUCUUCUGCAGUGGUCGGGCUUUGAGUCUGACUCAACUUCACACCUUGUAACACAGGCAAGAACCCUUUCUUUGACUGAUCCAUUUUGAAAUUCUUCAAAACUUUAUCAAGGUAUGUGCUUUCUGAAAGUCCUAUUAAGUGUCUCGAUCUAUCUCCAUAGAUCCUGAUGACCAAUAUAUAUAAGCAGCCUCACCGAGGUCUUCCAUUGAAAAAUUCUUAUUCAAGUAUCCUUUUAUGCUAUCUAGAAAUUCUAUAUCAUUUCCAAUCAACAAUAUGUCAUCCACAUAUAAUAUCAGAAAUGCUACAGAGCUCCCGCUCACUUUCUUAAUACAAGCUUCACCGUAAGUCUAUAUAAAACUAUAUGCUUUGAUCACCUCAUCAAAGCGUAUAUUCCAACUCUGAGAUGCUUGCACCAGUCCAUAGAUGGAUCACUGGAGCUUGCACACUUUGUUAGCACCUUUAGGAUCGACAAAACCUUCUGGUUGCAUCAUAUACAACUCUUCUUCAAUAAAUCCAUUAAGGAAUGCAGUUUUGAUGUCCAUUUGCCAAAUUUCAUAAUUAUAAAAUGCGGCAAUUUCUAACAUGAUUCAGACAGACUUAAGCAUCGCUACGGGUGAGAAAGUCUCAUCAUAGCCAACUCCUUGAACUUGUCAAAAACCUUUCACGACAAGUCAAGCUUUGUAGAUAGUAACAUUACCAUCAGCGUCAGUCUUCUUCUUGAAGAUCCAUUUAUUCUCAAUGGCUUGCUGAUCAUCGGGCAAGUCCACGAAAUUCCACACUUUGUUCUCAUACAUGGAUCCUAUCUCAGAUUUCAUGGCCUCAAGCCAUUUAUCGGAAUCUGGGCAUCAUAGCUUCAUCAUAGUUCGUAGGUUCACCUUGGUCUAGCAACAUGACUUCCAGAACAGGAUUACCGUACCACUCUGGUGCGGAUCAUGCUCUGGUUGACCUAUGAGGUUUAGUAGCAACUUGAUCUGAAGUUUCAUAAUCAUUAUCAUUUUGCUUCCUCUCUAUUUGGUGUAGGCAUCACGAUAACGAUUUUCUGUGAUGUGCUACUUUCCAAUUCGAGAGAAGGUACAAUUAGCUCAUCAAGUUCUACUUUCCUCCCACUCACUUCUUUCGAGAGAAACUCCAUCUCUAGAAAGGUUCCCUUCUUGGCAACAAAGAUCUUGCCUUCGGAUCUGUGGUAGAAGGUGUACCCAAUUGUUUCCUUAGGGUAUCCUAUGAAGACGCACUUCUUCGAUUUGGGUUUGAGCUUAUCAGGCUGAAGCCUUUUGACAUAAGUGUCGUAACCCCAAACUUUAAGAAACGAUAGCUUGGGUUUCUUGCCAAACCACAGUUCAUACGGUGUCUUCUCAAUGGAUUUAGAUGGUAACCUAUUUAACGUGAAUGCGGCUGUCUCUAAUGUAUAACCCCAAAACGAUAGUGGUAAAUCGGUUGCUUUAAAAUUGUUCAUAUAUUUAGACAUGACAAUCCGAAAGAGUUGGCACAACAAGCAUCCGGCUACUAUGUUAAUCAUGGUGUAUUGCAUUUCUCUCAAUAGCCGAUGCUUUGUCUCGUCAACAUAGGUAAGGCCUAACCGAAGUCCACAGCUUCAGACACUAAUGAGAUUUUUAUGCAGGCGAAAGUAAGGAUUGGAGAAAGUUUAUUGUUGAUUAUCUACAAAAUCCUAGCAAAAGGGUGAACAAUAUGGUUUGGAGGAUGACCUUGAGAUACAUAUCUAUGGAACUUUAUCAUCGGAUUGUUCAUGAAGUUGAGAAGGUUUCGCCCAAGUUUGCAUCAAGGAUUCAAAAAUAAUAAUGGCCGAUGUAUAAUUAUCGCCAUAAGCAUAUAAAUGGCCGAUGGAGUGUUGACAUCGUCCUUAGAACCAACAUUGUACAAGUUAUUUUUCGGCACGCUAGCUUUGCCAAAAAACAGGGGGGCAUGUGUUGACGCUGAAAAGUGGCAUGAUCAUAAAGAGUAGCUUGAAGCUAUGUCAAGAUUAAUUCAAUCUUAUUAUUGAAGUCACCAUGGGAUGGCUCUUUUCGAGAAGAUCAUGAUGGAUAUGAAGAUGGUCUAAAACGGAGCCCGAAUGCAAAAGUUAUGACAAGUUCAAAGAUGCUCAUGUUGACACCAAAUUAAAGAAUGGAUUGAAACCCAAUUAAGAUGGCCUCAAGGUGCUUUUGAGGACCCGAAACCCCACACGCCCGGGAGGGACCCCGUCAGGGCGCGUAUCGGCUAUGGGCUGCCCUAGGUCGACCUGAUCGCCCCUAGGGCCUCGAGGUUCACCACCCUGCAACAAGAAGAACAGACGAUGAACGAGGAAGAAGAAGAACUAGGGUUAAGGAGAAAAGAUAAAAGAUAAAAAGUGGUAGAUGAUUUUGUCGAUUGUGUGUUGUUCAAUCGGCCAUCACCCCUUAGGUAUAUAAGAGGCGGCUGGACUUCCCAUGCAAGUAAAAGGCUUAGAUUCACGCCCAAAACCCUAGUCAAAUUCGGAUUGGUUUUGUCCGAACUUUCCAAAACUGUUCAGUUUAAACUGGCUGCACCUUGUGGGUCUUUUUUGUGGCAGUAAACGGCCUCGGAUGAAAUGCGCCCAAAAGCAUAUUUACUCGCUUCGACGAGGCGAACAACUUUAAUGUUGAAUGUUUUUCUAUUCGAGGUAACCUUCAGGGCCAAAUCACUCGCGCAAAACGGACUGUCACUCGCACUACCCAUUAGACACCUUGUCUAAUGGGGCAAACCAGUUUUGCCUCGUGACAUAGUCAUAUUUAAAUGGCUCUAACUUUUGCAUACAAUCUCGGAUUGACACGAUUUUAUAUCAAAAUCAUCCUUUUCGACAAGACGCACAACUUUCAUGUUGAAACCUUUUCCAUUUGAGGCCAUCUUAAUUGGGUUUAGAUCCAUUCUUUAAUCUGGUGUCAACAUGAACAUCUUUAAACUUGUCAUAACUUUUGCAUCCGGGCUCCGUUUCAGACCAUUUUCAUAUCCAUCUUGAUCUUCUCGAAGAGAGCCAUCCCAUGGUGACUUCAAUAAUAAGUUUGAAUUAAUAUUGACAUAGCUUCAAGCUACUCUUUAUGAUCGUGCCACUUUUCAGCGUCAACAGAUAUACCCAUACCUAUUCAAAUCAUCUGUGAAGGUUAGAAAUAACGAUACGCGCCGCGUGCCUCAAUACUCAUCGGACUGCAUACAUCGGUAUGUAUUAUUUCCAUCGGCAUGGAGUUUCUUCAUGCGUUUUACAACAAUAUGACCUAAACAGUAGUGCCACAAAUAUGUUGCACUAUCAUUAUCAACUUUGCAUCUUUUGGCAUCAAUAUUAUGAAUAUGUGUAUCACUACGAUCUAGAUUCGACAAGAAUAGACCAUUCAUCAAGGGUGCAUGACCAUAAAAGAUAUUACUCAUAUAAAUAGAAUAACCAUUAUUCUUUGAUUUAAAUGAAUAACCGUUUCGCACUAAACAAGUUCCAGAUAUAAUGUUCAUGCUCAACUCUGGCACAAAUAAAAAUUAUUCAGGUCUAAAACUAAUCCCGAAGGUAGAUGUAGAGGUAGCGUGCAGACGACGAUCACAUCGACCUUGGAACCAUUCCCGACGCGCAUCGUCACCUCAUCCUUAGCCAAUCUUCGUUUAUUCCGCAGCUCCUGUUUCGAGUUACAAAUAUGAGCAACCGAACCAGUAUCAAAUACACAUGUACUACUAAGAGCAUUAGUAAGGUACACAUCAAUAACAUGUAUAUCAAAUAUACCUUUGUUCACUUUGCCAUCCUUCUUAUCCGCCAAGUAUUUGGGGUACUUCCGCUUCCAGUGACCAGUCCCUUUGCAGUAGAAGCACUCAGUUUCAGGCCUGGGUCCAGCUUUGGGCUUCUUCCCGGGAGUGGCAACUUGCUUGCCAUUCCUCUUGAAGUUCCCUUUCUUUCCCUUGCCCUUUUUCUUGAAACUAGUGGCCUUGUUAACCAUCAACACUUGAUGCUCCUUCUUGAUUUCUACCUCCGCGGCCUUAAGCAUUGCGAAGAGCUCAGGAACCGUUUUAUUCAUCCCUUGCAUAUUAUAGUUCAUCACGAAGCCUUUGUAGCUUGGUGGCAGUGAUUGAAGAACUCUGUCAAUAACACUAUGAACUGGAAGUUCAACUCCCAGCUGAGUCAAGUGGUUAUGAUACCCAGACAUUUUGAGUAUGUGUUCACUGACAGAACCAUUCUCCGCCAUCUUGCAGCUAUAGAACUUGUUGGAGACUUCAUAUCUCUCAACCCGGGCAUUUGCUUGAAACAUUUACUUCAACUCUUGGAACAUCUCAUAUGCUCCAUGAUGUUCAAAACGUCUUUGAAGUCCCGGUUCUAAGCUGUAAAGCAUGGCACACUUAACUAUUGAGUAGUCAUUAGAUCGAGCUUGCCAGACGUUCGUAACAUCAGCUUCAGCUCCUACAGCAGGCCUUUCACCUAGCGGUGCAUCAAGGACAUAAUUCUUCAGUGCAGCAACGAGGAUAAUCCUCAAGUUACGGACCCAGUCCGUGUAGUUGCUACCAUCAUCUUUCAACUUAGCUUUCUCUAGGAACGCAUUAAAAUUCAGGGGAACGGUAGCUCGGGCCAUUGAUCUACAACAUAGAUAUGCAAAACUAUAAGACUAAGUUCAAUUAAUCAAAUUACUAAUAAACUCCCACUUAAAUAAACAUCCCUCAAGUUAUCUAAGUGAUACAUGAUUCAAAUCAACUAACCCAUGUCCAAUCAUCGCGUGAGAUGGGGUAGUCAUCAAUGGUGAACGUCUCUAUGUUGAUCAUAUCUACUAUAUGACUCACGUUCGACCUUUCGGUCUCCAGUGUUCUGAGACCAUGUCUGUACAUGCUAGGCUCGUCAAGUUUAACCCAAGUAUUCUGCAUGUGCAAAACUGUCUUACACCCUUUGUAUGUGAACGUAGAGUCCAUCACACCCGAUCAUCAUGUGGUGCUUCGAAAUGACGAACUUUGGCAACAAUGCAUACUCGGGGAGAACACUUUUAUCUUGAAAUUUGCUGAAGGGAUCAUCUUAUAAUUCUACCGCUGUUCUAAGCAAAAUAAGAUGCAUAAAAGGUAAACAUCACAUGCAAUCAAAAUAUGUGACAUGAUAUGGCCAUCAUCAUCUUGUGCUUUUGAUCUCCAUCUCCAAAGCAUCGUCAUGAUCUCCAUCAUCACCGGCUCGACACCUUGAUAUCCAUCGUUGUGCCGGGGUCGUCUCGCCAACUACUGCUUCUACAACUAUUGCUAACGCAUAGCGAUAAAGUAAAGCAAUUACAUGGCGCUUGCACUUCAUACAAUAAAGAGACAACCCUAAGGCUCCUGCCGGUUGUCGAUAUUACAAAACAUGAUCAUCUCAUACAUCAACAUAUAUCACAUCAUAUCUUGACCAUAUCACAUCACAACUUGCCCUGCAAAAACAAGUUAGACGUCCUCUACUUUGUUGUUGCAAGUUUUACGUGGCUGCUACGGGCUUCUAGCAAGAACCGUUCUUAAUUACCUACGCAAAAACCACAACGGUGAUUCAUCAAGUUUGCUGUUUUAACCUUCCUCAAGGACCUGUCUAGUCAAAUUUGAUUCAACUAAAGUAGGAGAAACAGACACCCGCCAGCCACCUUUAUGCAAAACUAGUUGCAUGUCUAUCGGUGGAACCGGUCUCAUGUGCGUGGACAUGUAAGGUUGGUCCGGGCCGCUUCAUCCUGCAAUACCGCCAAAUCAAAAUAAGAAUUUGGUGGUAAGUAGUAUGACUAUCACCGCCCACAACUCUUUGUGUUCUACUCGUCCAUAUCAUGUACGCUAGACCUGGCUCGGAUGCCACUGUUGGGAAAUGUUGCAUGGAAAACAAAAAAAAUCUACGCACACGCAAGAUCUAUCCAUGGAGAUGCAUAGCAACGAGAGGGGAGAGUGUGUCUACGUACCCUCGUAGACCAUAAGCAGAAGCGUUUAACAAUGCAGUUGAUGUAGUCGAACUUCUUCGCGCUCCAACCGAUCAAGUACCGAAUGUACGACACCGCCGCAUUCAGCACAUGUUCAGCUCGGUGACGUCCUCUGCCUUCUUGAUCCAGCAAGAUGGCGAGGUAGUAGAUGAGUUCCGGCAGCACGACGGUGUGGUGACGGUGAUGGUGAAGCUAUCCUCAUAGGGCUUCGCCUAAGCACUACAAAAAUAUGACCGGGGGGGUGUAAACGGUGGAGGGGGCGCCACACACGGCUAAGAUAAUGUUUUGGUGUGCUAGGCGCCCCCUCCCACAUAUAUAUAGGUGGGGGGAGGAGGGAGCAGCCAGGAGGGCGCCCCAAGUAGGCCGAAUCCUACUCGGGGUCUCCUUCCAAGUGGCGCCCCCUGCCAUGUAUAGGUGCAGGGGAAAGGCAGGGAGGGAGGCGCCCCUCUUUUUCCUUUCUCCCAUCAGAAGGGGAAGGCAGGAGGGGCUAGCCCUCCCCCCUUUCCUUCCCUAGGGCUGGCCGGCCAGGGAGAGGGGCACACCAUCCCCCUGUGGGCUGGUCUGUCUCCUCCUUGGGCCAUUAAGCCCGUACACCUACCGAGGGGGGUGUCCGGAACCCCUUCCCGUGACCCGAUGACUACCCGGUGCAUCCCGAAACUCAUCCGGUCUCCGAAUACCAUCGUCCUAUAUAUAAAUCUUUACCUCUCGACCAUUUCGAGACUCCUCGUCAUGUCCGUGAUCUUAUCCGGGACUCCGAACAAAAUUCGGUCACCAAAUCAUAUAACUCAUAUAACACUAUAUCGUCAACGAACGUUAAGCGUGCGGACCCUACGGGUUCGAGAACUAUGUAGACAUGACCAAGACACUUCUCUGGUCAAUAACUAAUAGCGGAACCUGGAUGCCCAUAUUGGCUCCUACAUAUUCUACAAAGAUCUUUAUCGGUCGAACCGUUAUGACAACAUACGUAAUUCCCUUUGUCCAUCGGUAUGUUACUUGCCCGAGAUUCGAUCUUUGGUAUCUUCAUACCUAGUUCAAUCUCGUUACCGGCAAGUCUCUUUACUCGUUUCGUAAUACAUCAUAUCUUAACUAACUCCUUAGUCAUUUGCUUUCAAGCUUAUGAUGUGUAUUACCAAGAGGGCCCAGAGAUACCUCUCCGAUACUCGGAGUGACAAAUCCUAAUCUCGAUUUAUGCCAACUCAACAAACACCUUCGGAGAUACCUGUAGAGCAUCUUUAUGAUCACCCAGUUACGUCGUGAUGUUUGAUAGAACACAAGGUGUUCCUCCGGUAUCCGGGAGUUGCAUAAUCUCAUAGUCAGAGGAAUAUGUAUUUGACAUGAAGAAAGCAAUAGCAAUAAACUGAACGAUCAAUAUGCUAAGCUAAUGGAUGGGUCUUGUCCAUCACAUCAUUCUCCUAAUGAUGUGAUCCCGUUAUCAAAUGACAACACAUAUCUAUGGUUAGGAAACCUUAACCAUCUUUGAUCAACGAGCUAGUCUAGUAGAGGCUAAUUAGGGACACGGUAUUUGUUUAUGUAUUCACACAUGUAUUUAAGUUUCCGAUCAAUACGAUUCUAGCAUGAAUAAUAAACCUUUAUAAUGAAUAAGGAAAUAUAAAAUAAAAACUUUAUUAUUGCCUCUAGGGCAUAUUUCCUUCACUAACGGCCCGUGAUCAUGGUGGAAAUAGUUCAUCCCAACCUAACUUUCGGCCUGUUAAAGGCCUGUCGUAUAAUUCGGCCCGUUGAUGCGUCUACUAAGCUUUCAGCCUCUUAAAGGCCCAUGAUGUUAGUGGGCCAACCAAGGUUCAAGAUAUGUUUUGGCCUGGUAACAUCCCGUCAUAUAGAUUCAAUCUUCUCUGAAAUCUUAUGCGGAGACAGAUGGCUCUCCUUGUUGGGGAAUGCAGUAAUUUCAAAAAAAAUCCUACGAUCACGCAAGAUCUAUCUAGGAGAUGCAUAGCAACGAGAGGGGAGAGUGUGUCCAUGUACCCUCGUAGACCGAAAGCGGAAGCGUUUAGUAACGCGGUUGAUGUAGUCGAACUUCUUCACGAUCCAACCGAUCCAAGUACCGAACGUACGGCAGCUCCGCGUUCAGCACACGUUCAGCUCGAUGACGUCCCUCGUGCUAUUGAUCCAGUUGAGGAUGAGGGUGAGUUACAUCAUCACUACAGUGUGGCGACGGUGAUGAUGAUGUUACCAGCGCAGGGCUUCGCCUAAGCACUACAGGGAUAUGAUCGAGGUGUGUAACUGUGGAGGGGGGGCACCGCACAUGGCUAAAAGAUCAACUUGUGUGUUCUAGGGUGCCCCCUCCCCACGUAUAUAAAGGAGGGAGGAGGAAAGGGCCGGCUGGCCCCUAGGGCGCUCCCAAGAGGGGAGUCCUACCAGGACUCCUAGUCCUAGUAGGAUUCCACCAAAAUGGAGAGAGGGGGGAGGAAGGAGAGGGAGAGGGAAUAGGAAAGGGGGCGCCGCCCCCCUUCCCUUGUCCAAUUCGGACUGCUAAGGGGGGGGGGGCCUGCCCUGGCGGACCUCCUCUCUCUCCAAUAAGGCCCAUGGUGACCCAUUAGUUCCCCCAGGGGGUUCCGGUAACCCCUCCGACACUCCUUUUUACCCGAAACCAUCCGGAACACUUCCGGUGUCCGAAUAACAUGGUCCAAUAUAUCAAUCUUUAUGUCUCGACCAUUUCGAGACUCCUCGUCAUGUCCGUGAUCUCAUCCGGGACUCCGAACAAUCUUUGUUCAUCAAAACACAUAACUCAUAAUACAAAACGUCAUCGAACGUUAAGCGUGCGGACCCUACGGGUUCGAGAACUAUGUAGACAUGACCGAGACACAUCUCCGAUCAAUAACCAAUAGCGGAACCUGGAUGCUCAUAUUGGCUCCUACAUAUUCUACAAAGAUAUUUAUCGGUCAAACUGCAUAACAACAUACGUUGUUCCCUUUGUCAUCGGUAUGUUACUUGCCCGGGAUUCGAUCGUCGGUAUCAUCAUACCUAGUUCAAUCUCGUUACCGGCAAGUCUCUUUACUCGUUAUGUAAUACUUCAUCCCGCAACUAACUAAUUAGUCACAUUGCUUGCAAGGCUUAUAGUGAUGAGCAUUACAGAGAGGGCCCAGAGAUACCUCUCCGAAACACGGAGUGACAAAUCCUAAUCUCGAUCUAUGCCAACCCAACAAAUACUUUCGGAGACACCUGUAGAGCAUCUUUAUAAUCACCCAUUUACGUUGUGACGUUUGAUAGCACACAAAGUGUUCGCCCGGUAUUCGGGAGUUGCGUAAUCUCAUAGUCUGAGGAACAUGUAUAAGUCAUGAAGAAAGCAGUAGCAAUGAAACCGUAACGAUCAUAAUGCUAAGCUAACAAAUGGGUCUUGUCCAUCACAUCAUUCUCCUAAUGAUGUGAUCCCAUUCAUCAAAUGACAACACAUGUCUAUGGUUAGGAAACAUAACCAUAUUUGAUAAAUGAGCUAGUCAAGUAGAGGCAUACACUACAAAAAAAUACACUUCUGUGAUGAUACGUGUUUGUCACAGUAGGUCAUGUUUUCUGUCAUGCAUGUACAUCCAUGACAAAUUUAUGACAGAAUCAAGAUAGUCAUACCUGUGCUGUCGUAGAAGUGUUCCAUGACAUUACCAAAAUUAUCAUCAUGGAAGUGUCCACUUCCAUGACGACAAAUCGCGCGUCACAGAAGUGCUUUCGUCAAGGGUGACCGACACGUGGCAUCCACCGUAACGGAACGCCGUUAAGCUAUCGGGUCCGGUUUUGGAUCCGAUAACCCAUUAACAGCCCCGACCAAUGGGGAUUUCCCACAUGUAAAAUCAUCAUUGGCUGGAGGAAACACGUGUCAGCUCCGUGUUGGCACAGGUAUCACUCAUCCAAUGGGCGAGAUGCGCCUAUGAUAUGUUAACACGUGGACUGGCCCAAAAGUGGCCCAUAAAGUUUAAAUGGGCCGGCCCAACUAAAGGCCCACAAGAUUUUGCAGACCAUAAUGGGAUGGCCCAGCUAAAGGCCCACAAGAUUUUGCGGGCCAUAAUGGGCAGGCCCAGGUAAAGGCCCACAAGAUUUUUGCGGGCCAUAAUGGGCCGGCCCAGGUGAAGGCCCACAAGAUUUUUGUAGACCAUAAUGGGCCGGCCUAGCUAAAGGCCCACGAGAUUUCGCCGACAUUAAUGGGCCGGCCCAGCUGUAGGCCCACAAGAUUUUGAGGACCCUAGUAGGCCGGCCCAUUAACUGGCUGCCAUGUUUUGGGCCAAAUGCCGGCCCAUAUUUGAUUCGGUCCAUUAAUGGCCUGCCACGUUCCGGGCCUAAUAAUGGCCCAUAUGAGAUCCGGCCCGUUAAAAGCCUACCACGUUCUGGGCCAAAUUACGGCCCAGAUCAGGUCCGGCCCUUUAAGAGGCUUUGGGCUAAAUUAUGGCCCAUAUCAGAUUCGGCCCGCCAACUGGACGCUACGCUUUUGGGCCCAUUUGCUAAAGGCCCAUUUAGUAAUUCGGCCUGAUAUUAGUUUCGGCCUGUUAAGGGUCCGUUUAACAUUUCGGCCCUAUAUUAAUUUCGGCCUGUUAAAAGCCCGUCAUAUAGUUGGGCCUAACUACGACCUGGUUUGCAUCCGGCCUGCUCGCAGCCGAUAAUCUGAUUGGGCCAAACAAGGACCGAGACAAUUUUGGCCUAUUAUAAGCCCAUGAUUUGAUUGGCACAUUCAUGGGUCGGGGUCUAUUUCGGCCUGCUGCCGGCCCGUGAGCUGUUCGGCACGUUUCAGGCCCAACCUAGUUUUCAGCCUCCUAAAGGCCCAUUGAGUUUUCUUGGGAAAAUAGGGCCGGUGGUUUACUCGGCCUAUUAAAGGCCCGAAUCUACCGGUGGGCCAGUUUACAUUUAGGCCUGUUAACGGACCAAGAUGACGGGGCCCAUGAUGCGGAUCAUACAUGGUAAUUUUCUUGAGGCCCGAUUAUGUACCGUCAUUUUAUGGUUUGGCCGGUUUACUGCGAAGACAGGAUAUAUAUACAGUAAAAUAACCGCAGCAUCGUGAAUAAGAAAAAACCCUAGACUAUACAAUAAAGAAAUUACGGCAUAUUACAUCCACUGGGCAUCAAAGUUCACCUCUAUGAUAAUAAAGCACAAGCAGACAGCAGAUUACAUACAUUGGGCAUCAAAGAUCGCCACCAGUGCAACUAAACACGCUGACAAAAUAAUAUACAAAACCGACAUCACUUAAAUAGAGUUCAAGAAAGGUUAGCCCUGCUCGGGAGCUGCAGCGCAAGCAGCUGAGCAAGCUGGUGAGACUGCACUUGUUUGACACUUAUAUCCUCCUCACUCUGAAAGAUAAACAAGCAGAAAGAUGACAUGUUUUGCACAUAUAAGUAUCAGUGCUGACAAUUCAUCACAUUUCUUACCGACGAAUAAAGUGACACAGUUUAAAAUAGCAUUAACACAAUAUGGUAUUGUUCAGGUCAAGACAUGGCAGGAAAUGACAUUAUGAAGGAGUUGGUAGCUUCACGACACCACUAGAUUACAGAUCAAGAACUAAAUAAGAUCACUUGCUCUGUAUAGUUUAAUUUACAUGGUAUGAAGAAGGAUCUUGGUUGUACAACUAAAAACAUAAAUUGAGAAGGAAAAACUUUUGUUUAUGAACUGGAGUACAUAAUAAACUUUAAACAUGCAAUUUGAUGCAAACACCAAAAAUAAACAGGUGUUGCAGUCAUGCCUAACCAAAUAUACACAACAAAGUUUGAAGGCUUGAGAAGGACAAACUUACAUUAUUGGUGAAGGCAGGCUCUAUAAAGCCCUUGUCCAUGCUGAUGGGGGGGGGGCAAUUCAAGAUGUUUACCACAGAAUCUUCUUCAUAAGCAUUGCCUUUAUUCUACAUUUUGUUAAGAGUAAAUAUAGAUGUGACAAUAUAAGAAAAAAUGGAGAAUAUUUAAGAUAAGACGAAGAGUGAUGCUACAUAACCAAGUAGCUAUAAAUGUAAGUAUAGCGAUACAGGCAAAAGGUACAGCCAAGAGCAAUGCAGAGCUAAACUUCUUCAGUACCAUCGGUGUUAUCCAACAUUAUGGUAAGAGUAAAUAUAGAUCUUAUGUGUAGAAAAUGGAGGGCAAAGGAAAAUAAGCUGCAGAGUGAUGGUACAUGAACAACUACCUGUCAAUAUAAGUAAAGGACAGCAGGUACUUACAAGAACAAUGCAGAGCUAAAAAAAUUAAUUGGCAUUGGAUAUAUUCUACACUAAUGUAACCAUUCAUAUACAUCAGAUAAUUUGGAGCGAACAAUUGAUAAGCAAGCUAUCAUGCAUACUGCUGCCACAUAAUGAACUAGGUAUGUAUGCAAGUACAGUGAUACAGGACAACAGGUACUAACAAGAGCAAAGUAGCGGGCAGCAUAUUUGCGAUAUCCUGUCUUUCUUUUCAAACCAGAAUUCUUUUUCGAGCAGAUUUCGUGCAAAAAAGAUCCGUAAGGCACAUGCGGAAAAGUAGAAGUUCAAAUUUUCAUACGAUAUCAUAGACAGUACCUCAUCCUCAGAACGAGACCAGUGCAUAACAAGGUUUUUCCAUUCAAUGUCUUCUAAAUUUAGCACAGGAGACUUCACCAGAAAUUCAUUUAUAGACUUGCCAUCAAAGUGUGAUUUCCUCAGGUAACACCGAUACUGCUGCAAUGCUUCCUUGAAAAGCGCAAGCAAGCUUUGGUCGUCAUGACUAUCCAGAUUGACCCUUGCCUACUUACAACAAUGUAAUAUAAAUCAUUGAUGUGUUCAAUCAGCAGAAAACAGGAAAAUAAUCACCAUGAAUAAUAGCACUUACACGUAAGUGGGACAGGAAGAUGUGAAAAUGGUGUUUGUCUUCACUAUAAUCUUCCCAUGAUGGGAAUAUAUGCACGUAGUCCCUAACAACAUUGAAAGCAUUGUCUUUUAAACUGGGAAUAACUGGAAUGGGGUUCCAAUCUGCAGGAAUUGGCCGUCUCUGCAAUUGGGAUAGGUCUUCGGCCGGUGGACUUGCUGUACUUUUUGCUGGAGUGGGAUUUUUCUGUGGUACGGCUGGUGCUAUGGUAACUGAAAUCGGCAUACCUUUUGCUGGAGUGCAGGUCCUGUGUGGUGCGGCUAGUGGUGUGGCCAGUGAAGUAUGGGUACAGUCUGCUGGGGUCGGUCCUACGUUUUGUGUCACUGGUUGUACAACCAAUAUAAGUGGAGUGCUGUCUGAUUUCUCCGGCACAACCACGUUUUUCAAGGACUUUGCUGGUGCUCCUUCAGGUUCGGCAAUCACCCUCUUCCUUUUUGAUGUCUGAUGCACAAGAACAACAUUUGAGUGGAAAAACAUGGUAUGAUGACAGAUGGAAUAUGUAUUGAUAAUGGAUGGGCAUGGCAUCUCGACAUAUAUGAUGAGUAAACUAAGCAGAUGGCGGUGCAACAAAGUAGAAGAAAUGCAAGACAACAUAUGCAAGAUACACGCAAUCAAUAAAACCUUGCCAAAUUAGAACAUGCACCUUGAUGGGUGAACAGGAUAGGCCAUCUGCCUUUGACUCCUCGAGGUUAGAAUAGUCAUUAGGAUCAUAUUCUGAACAAGAAUCAACAGGUGGUGAGCGUAUGAGUUUCAUUGCAUCCAGAAUGGCACUCAAUGCCUUUGUGCCAAUUUUGUAAGUCAUUGCGGUGUUUAGCUUCAAGAGUGGACUGCUGCUAGUGCGACACAAAGCAGCUACACAGAUCAUAGUGUAGAUAUAACAGGAAAACCGUAAGCAUCAGAGUAAAAUCAGCAAAGUGGAACUUGCUGGAAUAUAUGUGCUAGUAUUGCCGGUACGGCUAGGAAGCCUUCGGAUAGCAGCUCUCUUCAACUGAAGGUGUGGUACUGUUAAUAUCAGUGUAACUCUCAAAGGCGACACAGCUCCCCGCAUUUCCUUGCUAUUCUUAUAGGAUUCAAGUGGGCAGGCCACUACAAAUCCUAUUCCCAUGUUUACAAAAUCCUACGAAUCAAAGAGGCCCGACGAGUUCAAAGUGUCCAUACCAACCGACCCUAUAGACCUCUACACUGCAAAUGUCCCUGCUCAUAUUCACUACAAGGAACAUAAUGUACUACUAUCAUACUCCCUCCAUUCCAAAAUAUAAGUCUUGGUAGAGAUUUCCACUAUGGAUCACAUACAGAUGUAUCCAGAUACAUUUUAGAGUGUAGAUUCACUCAUUUUGCUCCAUAUGUAGUCUAUGGUGGAAUCUAUACAAAGACUUGUAUUUAGGAACGGAGAGAGUACUUAUUAAAGAAGAACGAAAGAGGAACAUGCUAAAGAAGAGCAAGCAGAUUUUGGAUAAUAAAAUGUUCGUUGCGCAGUGCCCACACAUGAUGAACCAGAGCGCAUUAAGAAAGCAACUCUCUGCUGUCUCUCUAUAUGUGGUGCACGUGCUUUUUCGAAAGUAAAGUAGGAACAUUAGCUGACCAAUUAAAUGUUAUCCGUUUUAGUAAUAUCAGCAUCAUAUCAGGUUCGUACUUGAGGAACAAGUUUGGAAUUAUGAGUGGCACGUUGUUUUGCUUGAUGGAUUCAGGAGCAGUGCUAAGCAGGUACGAUGAUGGUACUGAAUAUAAAGGCAUGUCUGCAUUUGGGUCAGUCGACCAUUUCAGGCGGUUGGAUGAAGAUCUUACGUCUCCUAACCCUUCUUCUUCCUCGUCUCUGAUUCUUCCCAUACAGAACACCGCAUGGGUCGCCGGCCGGACCAUCGGCCCCCACCGCAUGUGUUCCUCCGCCACCCCCACCCCCCGCCCCCACCCGCGUCAAGUUUUCUUCGUUCGGCGAGGCCCCACCACCGCCCCCCAACAACCAAAGUCCCCACCCAAGCCCCUUCGUUCGCACCGACGAACUCCGGCGAGCUCUGAAAAAUCGACUGGCCCAAUUUUGUAAUUUAGUCUACUGUGAUUUAACAAGUGUGGAAUAUAAAAGGCGAAAACCAUAAGCAUUGGGAGUAUAGUGUUGAGCGUGCCAUGGCGGAUCUGAAGGUGCAAACCGGACAAAGGCAACAUCGCAACCAAUGUUUGCUCUCAACUAGCAAGUAAGUGAUGGACAAGAAAUCAGAGUAAAGCAGUGGCGAUCUAUUUUCUUGCUACGAUAAAUAAGUUGAGCAGAUACGAAAGAGUACCGCCUCUGGUGCGGCGCCGUGUAUGCAUCUGCUGAGAAUUUGACGGUGCUGUGGUAGCGAUGGCUGUCGGCGGCGUGGAAGCGGAUCUAGGAGGGUAGACGGUGGCGGCGGGGUGCGGUGGACGAGACGGUCGUAGGAGCAGCGCCGGCAAGGUGGACGACGGUGUGGAUGAAGCGAGAGGACGGGAUCCAAGGAUCCUGGUCUGAAGCCGUGGAUGAGAGAGGUCGAUCUCUUGUAAUGGACGGCGGCGUCGGGGUAUCAGCUCCGGCAUGGUGGAGGAGGAUGGCGGUGGAUGGGGUGGCGUACGGAGGAGGCUAGGGUGGAGAGGGUGUUUUGGGGCCCACAGAGUACGAAUGGGGAAAUGGAGGUGGAGAGGAAGGGGGGAACCAUGUCUUCAGGGCGCGCUUGUCACAAAUGCGAGGAAAUUUACAAACUUAGCCCCCGUUUCAAAUUUCCUACAUCACAGCAAUAUUAGUGGGUUGGGGAUAGGACGGUAAUCUCGCAUACACCGAAUAUUUGCCGACGAGAGUUUGUUUUUGGCGCCCACUGUGUAUGAAUCGGGGAGGGAGUCGAUCUCGGCCAAGGACACACUAUGUUUUGGCGCCCACCGUGUAUGAAUCCGGGUGAGAGACAGUUAUGUCACGUUCGAGUGAAAUUACAAACCUACCCCUAUCGAAACCUAUAGAAAUCGAGCAGAUAGGCUUUGCGUGGCAGGGAUAGGCAGUAGUAAUUUCCAUCUCGCAGAUUCUGGUUUCGGGCGGUUACUGCGACUUUCCCCGCUUCGUUCAAAUUUUGCAGAGUGCACGUUUACCGUGCCAACUCAAUUCGAAUCCCGUUUGUACUCUAUUUUUUUCGGGCGGGAUCCAUUUUUGAUUGGAAUAAAAUUCUAUAUACAUCAUUUUUAAUAUAUAUACUUUCAAAAGCACAACAAAGAAUUCUGCUCCUUUAUAUGUAUAAUAUGAUUUACAAAUACAAUGAUCUCAAAAUCAUAAGAUUGAAUUCAAAAAAUUAAACCAAAUUAUGUUCUACUAAAAUGUAUGGAUCAAUAAUAUCUACAUAUUAAAUAACAUAGAUGCGCGUGAAUUCAUAUGAGUAUGCAUGUUUGAUAGAUCAAUUUUGGUUCGAGUAUGGAUUAUAUGUAUCAUCAUCUCGAAUUCAAAUAUUUGAAUCCCUUUUAUGUUCACUCCUUUCAUGCCCAUCUCUCUCGCAUGCAUGCUCCUUCAUGUAGCUAUCACUCUCUUUUAUCCAGCUCACCCGCACGCUCACUUCAUGUUUCUCCUAUCCUCGCAAACAUGGUCUCUGAAUGUCUCCCUUGAGAAGUGUCACACUCUCCCUAUCAUUAUACAUUACACGGUUUUCAUUAUCUCUCAUGUCUCUACCGUUCUCUCGUAUCACUAGGUACCUAAGCUUUCUUUUUCACCGCCACACACACAGUCUCCACUCGUCUUUCACUUUGUCUUUCUCUCUAUGGGAUUCUCUCACACACCCUAUAUGUCUCUAGAUAUGAAUCAUACCACUAAAAUUACUCUCUCUCUCUCUCCUGUAGACACAACAUUUGUUGCGGUCUCCUUUUCGUGUCCAUCCCAGACUGACAUUAUUCAUUUGUUUACCGAUCAGACAAACCCCCCCUCUCACACACACACACAACUCCUGCUUCCACUCCAGCUUCGAAGCUGGAGUUUGCAACUUCAAAACUACAGGUUUUAGCCCUCCUGCUGGGUGGGCGCUUCCGAUGCUUGCCACCGCGUCACUAGGUUGUUCAUAGCUCUUGCUUAGCUUAAUGGAUCACCCAACUGUAUUCCGGGAUGUGUGCAUUCCACAAUCCCUUAAGGAAGUCAAAGAAGGACUCGAAACUUGCAGAUAAUGAAUAUAAAGAUGAAAGAUUGAAUGCACCCUGACUCGGAUUCCAAUAGGGCUUCUGCUUCUUCUGCUUGGCAAGGUCAAGUAUAUACACAGUCUAAAGCCACAAGAGAAGGUAUGAUAGGACAAGUGCCGGGAACUGCUAAACGACCUAAAAGAAAAAGAGGAGACUGACUCUGACCUUUCAAAGCCCUAUCUCAUCUGGUUGAUAGUACUAUAUCUAGAAAUCCCCGUCGAUUCCUCAUUGGCACCUUUUCGAACACAACUGAUGCAUUCCAAAAUAACUCUGAUUCUAACAUCUUUUCCCUUGGCCAUGAACCUCCUUUUCUUUUUGGAUUGGGAUAAAAACACCCAUCUUUCCGUACGAAAGACACGCAACUAGAGCAACUUGAUAUUACGUAUGUAGACUCUCUCUCACACAAAACUCUCGCUUUCGCACCCCCGUCUCGUAUUUCUCUCACAAACAUUUAUCGACUAGCCUCUAGAUAUGUUUAUACACCCGCACACUCGUGCUUCCACUAUCGCAUACAUGUAUCUCUCCCGCUCCUUGUAUCUAUGUAGAUUUUUCUUCCCUUCUUGAGACACGCCCUCUCGAUCGUGCACACACACUAUCGCCUCAUUUUAAGCUGAUACCUCUCGCACACACACUCUUUGUGUAUUUGUUACACAUGCACUCCGUCCUCCUCCUCUCUCCCUCUCUCUCACACACAUGGGCUUUUUGCAACAACUAGCAAGAUGCCCAUGCGUUGCACGGAACAUGAAGAUGCAUUUGUAUGAGUAGUUUAUCUUGUGGGAGAAAAGGAUGAACAAGGGAAGGCCUUAUUUGCAAGUGUGGAGAGGGGUGUGGGUAUCUUUUUGCAAAAUUGCCAUAGUUUCCUUCCUAUCCGUCGGAUAUAGAUCGGACGGCCUAUAUUGCAGGAUGGCAGGCACACGAUCAUCACCGAGUAUGCUUUUUAUAAGAGUAGGGAUAAAAAACAGAGUUGGUGAUGAUGGUGGGCCUGCCAUCCUGCAAUAUAGGCCGUCCGAUUUAUAUCUGACGGAUAGGAACGAAACUAUGGCAAUUUACCCGCACUCCUCUCCACAUUUGCAGAUAAAGCCUUCCCUCAUUCAUCCUUUUCUCCCACAAGAUCUUGCUGUUCCAUGCAACGCACGGGCAUCUUGCUAGUAAGAGUAGAAAUUAGACAUAUACCACUUCUCAAAUCUUGAAACCAACAACAUUCCUCCCUUAUCUCAUCAAAACCGCCAAAGGAAUAUAUUUUGAGUGAAACAUAACAUUUUUUUUAGUGAUAUACGUAUUUCAAAACUAGACUUUUUUCUAUCAAAUCGGUGAAUAUGUAUUAAUCUACUCAGAUCGUGUGGCAACGCAUUGGCACAUUGCUAGUAGUUAUUAUAAUUUUGUGGACACCAGACAAACGGUGGAGUACAUAUACGAAGAGAAGAGGCGCAUGUACGCAGUCGGUCUCUCGCUGUCUCGCACACAUGAGUGUUACGUAAAGGCAACGUUAACAAAUAAACCCUAAAACCCUAGGUGCACGUUUGCUGCAUUCGCGGGUACCGGGUACGUGGUGGAGCGCACCUUUGUAGGAAUAGUCAGCUCGCGUGAUAAUUUGAUCCGUAGGAGUUGAUGGUCGGGACCACAGGUGAACGACUUGGAGGCAGUGGCUCGCCAGUUGCCACAGAUCGAGUAGCCAUGUUUAAAAUAUCAUUUUUUAGCAGGGUUAAGAGUUCUGAUUUUCAAUGGCGCGUUAUAAGUACUAAGUAGUUUUUAGAACGAUUGGUAUGGAGCGAAAAUGGAAUUCAUAGUACUACCUACUACGUACCUCCUUGGCGUAUGGUUGUAUGGGUUUAUGUUGUGAGAUGUUGAACCUGGUAGUUCUAGGGCAAAUACUAUGUUUAGAUUUAGAUGUUGGUUUUCAGUAAUGAAAAUCGGAAGGGGGAAACCCUUCUUUGAUUAAAAAAACUACUACCUCCGUUCUGGUUUACUAGUCCCCAUCGUUUUUUGGGUCAAAGUUUGUCCAUGAAUUUUACUUGUAAAAUGUGAAUGGAAAACGAGAUUUUGUUAUACGCAAACAAAAAAGGACUGGAGGGAGUGAUUGCUCUGACACGGACGCGACCUCUCAUAGCGCAGGCAUUGAACCAGCGCGCCGGCCAAGAGGGCCCCAGUCGCUGCAGGCCCGGCUGAACACGCCUCCCGCAUGCAACCGGCUUCAGACUGCCCCGCCUGCCUUCAUUGAAUCCGCGCGUGUGCCGGCAACACGUCCUUCCGCGAGCCGACCGGCAUUUUAGAACACAAAAAGUGACCAAAAUAUAAUUAAUUAUGCAUGGUCUUGACUUGUUGUGCUCGGACUGGUAGCAGGAACUAGAGAUUUUCUUUAUUCAUAACUCUCCUCAAUUUUUUUGGCUUUGAAGUGAAUCAUGGUUGUGGACAUUAUGUAUGAAUGUGGAGAUAGUUGUGAACAUGAGUUUGAUGUGGAAGUUGAACUUGGAAUGUCGGGCUUGCGCGUGAACUAUACCAUGUCCAAUGCUUCGUCUGUUAUUGUUUGGAAAGUAAUUGCUGUUAUUACAUGACCCGAAAAAUAUAUUUUGUGCCACACAGUAGAUGCACGGACAUCACAACAGGCAUGCUGACUGGAUAAACAUUUGAACCUAGCUACUAUGAAGGAAAUUUUGUACUGACAACAGUUUUAGAUAGCAGGAGACGCCUAGCCUGCUCUGCCUCUGCUAGCUUAUUUCUGGCUUCUUCCAUCUCUUCUUUGGCAUGGGUGAAGAGAGCAUCUGAUUGUUCUUUUCGCUUCUUCAGGAACUCAGCUACAUUCUCAAGGGCUGCUGCACGCUUUCUUUCAGCCUUUACUAGAGCCACGAGGACACGAACAGCUGACGACACCACCUGGCUUGUGUGUAAUCCAGCAUCAUCUGGGAAUUUGCACCUUGUGUCUAAUCCAGCAUCAUUAGGGAACUGGCACCUUGUGUGUAAUCCAGCCUCAUUCUGGAAACAUGAUCUCGAGGUUGACCAUACUUCCCUCCUCGCAGGAACUGCAUUCUGACAUGAAGUUACUUCUUUUUUAGAUAAUUACUCAGAGCAACCCAGAUCCAUUUAGUAGAAGCCAGAUAAACAUAACUGGGAGAAGUGAAUUCAAAAGGAAAAAAAAUAUAAAAACAGACUACAAGGUGAGAACACCCACUUCCUACAUCAAGCUAAAAACGAAAGCAUUAGGAUGAUUAAGACUCUUCUUAUGACACAUCGAAGAACACGAGGCUUAAGAGAAACAGAAACUACAACAUAUACACAUCGAAGAACACGAGGCUAAAUGAAAGUAAUUGAAAGGGUGUUACUUACCAAAGCUCGUUUUACAGGUUCGGUGCAGCUCCUCUUUAACUUGCCACGCUCCUUGAAGAUGUCCCCAAUAUCCCGUGUUUGGUCUUCAUUGCUCCUCUGCAUGUUUGCACUCGUGGUUUUAAAAUCUCAACAUGGCAAGAAAAAUAUACUACUAGUAAUACUCGCGCAUCUUGUGGGCAACAUUAAAGCACUCGUCUUCCAUGUUAGAGCAUCUCCAACAGAAUCGCAACGCGCGACACUUUAAAAAAGCGUUUACAGUGCUGAGAUCAAGAAGUAGAGAUAGAGAGUAGAGGAUAGUUCUCAGCAUAGAUAGAUAAAAAAAUAGAUUAUUCAACUAGUCCUUGUCGUCCGACUCCUCCUCGGUGAUGUCCUCCUCCGACGUCUGACUGUAGGCGUGAAGAUACCGAUCAUCGUCGGAUUCCCAGGGCGACGCUGCUCCUAGCCUCAUGUUGAAUUGAGCGUCCGCUUUUCGCCUACGCUUGUCCUCGCGAUAGGCGGCUCGCUCCGCCCUCCUCUUAUCCCUCUCCGCCCUCCUUUGCUCGUAGAACUUGCGCUCGUUGAUGAUGUCCUGCGGGAAGCGUUGGCGGCACAACGCCAUGGCUUCCUCGUCCAUCUCGGCGAUGCCGAGACGGUGCUCCCUCCUCCGGUUGUCGCGACGAUCCUCGUCGGUGAUAAGCCGCGGCAGAGGCGCGAGCUCCUGUGCCCGCUCCCGCGUCGGCACGUUGGGGAAGUUCAAUGUUCUAUGAGGCCACCGGAGGCGCCACACCGCCGCGUCGUACACGCGGGCGGCCUCGUUGGCAGUGUCGAAAUUGCCGAGGCCGAGGCGCAACCCGCGGAACCGGAUCUCGGCGGAGAAGUCGCCAGAGGGGCGCGCGCGGACGCCGCGGUAUCCCCAAGUUUCCCGGCGACGCGGCGGCAUGGUGGCGCAGCGGCAGCGAGGCGAGAAAGAGCGGGGAGAGAGCGGUGGCGAGGCACAGAGCGGGGAGAGGGUGUUGGCAAGGCACAGAGCGGUGGGAGGGCGUUGGAUUUUAUAAAGCGCGCCGGACGCCGCGCGCCAAAACUAGCGCACGCCCGACCGCUUUUUCCCGCGCGCGUGGCUUUCCUGACGUCUCUGCUAUCUCUACUCUCUUCUCUACUGUUAUAUUUAUUUUAUAUUUAAUAUUUUUCUCUACUUCUCUACUCUCUAUUUUUUCUCUACUUUUUCCCUACUCUUAGAAAAAACAGAGUUGGUGAUGAUGGUGUUCCUGCCAUCCUGCAAUAUAGGCCAUCCGAUUUAUAUCCGACGGAUAGGAAGGAAACUGUGGCAAUUCUGCAAAAAGAUACCCACACCCCUCUCCGCAUUUGCAAAUAAGGCAUUCCCUCGUUCAUCCUUUUCUCCCACAAGAUAAACUACUCAUACAAAUGCAUCUUGAUAAGUGCAACACAUGGGCAUCUUGCUAGUUCUAAAAAACUAUCCAUCAUUUGCCACACUACUGGUUGCAGAUGAAAUACCUACCAAGCACAGCGUGAUACAGGAGCGACGCACAAUUACAAGCUGAUAUUCUGUUGGACAAUGGAGGCUAUAACCAAUUACUUUUACGGGAACAAUAGCACCUAGGAAAUUUGAAGGGUAGGUAUGAACAAAAUUGGAACUGCACAUGUACUUCUAAGUGAUUCAAUACACACAUUACCAAUCUAGGAGGAGAACGAUGGUCGCGGCGGCCUCUGUGAGUCAUGGGCGGCAACGGGAGUCAGUUCAUUGUCCACGACGGUGGUGCUUCUGCGCUUGGCGUCGGCUUCCGGGAAGCAGAUACGAGACCGUGGAAGACGGUGCCGGGGAAGAGGCUCCGUGUACGACGACGACGGUGGACUGGCUCCAGUGCGGCGUACGAGGUCGUCGAUGAGGCAGAUGCACUGCGGUGGAUGAGUGCACCGAUGUAGAAGGGCAGGAGCACAAAGGCUGCGGUGCCGUGGAGAAGUCUAUUUUGCGGUGGGGAUAGAAAAUGGGGAGUAUUCAAGUGUACUACUCUGGGUGCCGGGGUGGGGUUGGCUGGGUAGGGUGAACCUGAAGUUACGAAAACAACCCACUACCAACCGUCAUCCGUAGGCCUGUUCCGAAGGCUAUGAUGGUAACUUCCCACUGCUCGAAUCAGGGUCGCAGGAGAUUUUCCCACCGACCUCAAAAUUUUGUGACACUGAACUCCCCGUGUGGCGUGUUGGGUGAUUCGGCUAAGCAACUAGCGAGUAGUACUAGUAAACUCUGCAUAUUAGGUUUGACCGAAGUCAAACUUCCUAAAGUUUGACCAAGUUUAUAGAAAAAUAUAAACAUUUACCAUAACAGAUAUGUAUGAUGUGAAAGUACAUUCAAUAAUGAAUCUAAUGGUAUUUAUUUGUUAUUGUAUAUGUUAAUAUUUUUUGUUAUAAACUUUCUGAGAGUUUACAAAACUUGACUUUGACCAAUGCUAAUACGCAGACUUAAAUAAAAAUGGAGGGUGUACACAUUUGUUUUCUUAGUAUGUAGUGAAUUAAUCAUUUGUUGAAAUUGUGAAAUAAAUAUAUUAGGCUACUGACUUCGAAUGUAAUGGUCUAUACAAUUCAAUAGUUACAAUCAUUGUCGAAUUCCAAGAUGUAUACGAGGUCUAUAGUAUUUCACAACAUGCUCAAACUCGCAUAAUCCCAGUCAAAUGACAAUCAAAAUGCAUUUCAUAGUUAUUACUUUGUAGGAUGCAACAAAACCAACAAUAACUCUACAUCAGCCAUUAUAAAAGCAACAUUUUGAACAUAUCCCAAUGUGUGAAUGAAACGUGCAGAGAGAGCUUGCGAAGAUGGAGCAGAUAGGGCGGGAAAGAUUGUAUGUAUGUGGACGAGAGAGUAGGAGACAAACCUAACGAAACAAAAAGAGGGAGAUAGAGAGAUAAAGAGAGAGGAAGAAGUUAGGUGUGUGAGAAACAUGGAGACAUGUAAUAUACGUGAGAUGCGUGUGCAUCCAGAUUCUAUACACGUGGAAGGAGAAGAGGCAAUAGGUUUGAUGAGAGAGCUGGAAAAACAUGGACGAGAGGGGAAGGAUCUCAUGGGUUGAGGGAUUGAUAAAUUUGUGCGGGGGAGAGAGGGAUUGGUAAUUUUGUGCGAGAGAGAGGGUGGGGGAGGAGUCAGUCAGCCGUUGUCACAUCAUCCUGCUUCCAAAUGGCCCCGCAUUCUCUAGCGCAGUGUGGUCGCCGUCUUCGAUCUCCUCGAUGCCCUCUUUGAAGAUUGAGAUGUUGUGCAUGCUGGGGUGCGAAGAAGCACAAGCGAGAGUGGUCGCCAUAUAACCUUGGAUGGGGAUGAAUUGUGUGCUCGGGGGAGGGUGUGUUUGUGUGAUGUGUGCUGUCUGUGUGUGUGUGUGUCAGAUAUUGAGAGAAAACAAACCUAAGGAGAGAAAUGUGUGUGUAUGUGAUCGAAAGCUACUUGCUAAACAGGGUAUUCAUGAAGAGAUUGUGCGUGCGAGAUAGAGAGCGAUGUGCAGGCCUUGAGGUGGGCAGGGGUCGGGUGAGGGUGUCAAAAUGUGCGCGUUGAUGCAUGUGUUACAUGCGAUCGUGCGAGGGAUGGACGAAUCGAGAGAGAUGGUUGUUGUGCUACAGAUGCUCCUCUCUCUCUCUCACACACACACAAGUAAAAUAGAAGACCGUUCUCUCAUGUAUACACAACGUAUCGGGAUCUGUCUAUGUCUCACUCAUGCAUGAUCAUUUGCACAUUCACACCUCUCUAUGUCUCUAUCACACGCACACCGUCUCCACAUUGCCCUUUCGCCACAACACACAUAUGGACACAUACACACGUUCUCUCUCAGUCACACACACAGGGGUUGUUUGGUUUGAGACUAAGUUUGCCUAAGGUUGCCAUACCUAAGGUUAGGCAAGUUUGACCAACUUAGGUGGGUGUUUGGUUCAAGGCACACCUUAGGCAAGCCACAUUAGGGUCCCACAUUACAUACACUCAAAAAGUGUGGCAAGAUUCCCUUAGGCUUGCCAACUUGUGGCUCUCAUUUUGAAGAACUAACCUUAGGCAAGUGUGGCAACAUUGUCUCUAUGACAAGUGGGCCAUAGGGGCAAUAAAGUGUGGCAAGCCAAAGUGUGGCAAAAACCAAACACAUGCCAACUAAACUGUGGCUGCCAAAUUUUGGCUUGGCAAACGGUGGCUGGGAACCAAACAGCCCCAAAAUCAGUAUUAAAAAAACUAGGGCGCACCUAAAACGUCCAAAUCCAAAUAAACACGAACUGGAGCUAAAUUCAAAUAUAUGGAAAUAUUGUAGCGUCAAGAACUUUUCCCGGAAAAAAGUUGAGUAAUAUUCGGGGAUUGUUUUCACACACACAAAAAGGUUCGGUGGAUGUCCUUUGAGCGCGACACGGUGACACACCGUUCGAUCGACCACGCGGCCGCGGUUCACGCGCUUGCACAGGAUUCCGUAUCAUGGUUGUGGUAACUAAUAAAAGCGCUGCCUAAGUCUAAUGUUUACGUGUACUAGUACGGUUUUCUUUUAAGUUUGACCAACCCUAUAUAAAACUAAACUAAGCUCCCAUACGCGCACUCAUCAAUAAAAGCGCUGCCUAAGUCUAAUGUUUACAUGUACUAGUACGGUAUCCUUUUAUUUCGAAUCAAAAAUAUAUUCUGCCUCCUAUUCUUGGCCUUGGAGAUUUACAAAGGAACCACUUGUUUUCCUUUGAGUUUUGCCUCCAAACAAAUUCCCCUGGCUAGUCCUUAGGACCCUCAACCAAGAUCCAUGAAGAUCCACUGGUCUCCAGUUCAAAAUUUUCAAAAUAUACUUGUUGCAAGUUUGGGCCAUAUUUGGAAAAUUUGGUGAAAUUCAAUUGUUCUCUCCUCCUAAAAAUCUGAGAAAAUUCAGGCAGCCUCUGGAUGCAUCAAGAGGUCACCUCACCAAGUCCCAGCUCCAGAAAAAUUUCCCUCGUGCCCAAAUCUUUUCGUCGAACACCUGGAGGGCACUGUUACUGUCAAGUUCAAAAAGGUUCAGAGAUACAGGUUCAGUAGUCACUGUCGUUUUCUUCAGAACUCCGUAUCGAUCUCGCCAGUAGCCGCGGUGGCGCCUUGCUCCCUGUUUCCCCUUCUUAUCCACUGCGCCGCACGUUCACUUGGAAGGUUGCGGGCGUCGGUGGCCAGCUGGCCGAGGUGCAUCGCCCCGCGCGCGGCGGCAGCAGCACCCGCUACGGCUGCCAGAGAGGCGCAGCGUGGGACGGCGCCGUCCAGCACCGCCCAAGCCACCAGAGACCACCGCGUGGCCGUCCUCUCCUCUGUGCACACUGCAGGGCCGUCGUCGUGAACUGGGAGGCACGGAGCGCGCUCCCUGCCGCCGUCGUGCCCGUACGGCCGUUCCGUCGAGGGCCAGUGUAUUACACAAGUCCGACCAAGGUUUUGGCUGAGAAACGGCGCCAGUGAACCACCACGGUGAUGCCAAGCCACCUAAACCUCCUGCCCAACCUCUGCCUCGCCGUAAUUGCUCGCCGGCGUUAUCCCGUUCACAGUCACCUCCUCGGAUCGCCUAUAAAAGGAGGUCCCGAGCUCGAACUCGAACACGCACCACCCCUACACCCCACAAGUACCACGCCAAGCCACUGGGAGGACCUCAAGGGAGUCUUCUUCCCCAACUCCGGCCGCCUCGACCCGCUUCGGGAUCCGGCACGAUUCACUCCCGUGCGUGGACCCCUGCCUCUCAACUCAUGCCAGUAGCAUCCUAUUGCAUCCACCUCUCUGACCCGCGCACCAAUUUGGAGUUUGCAGCACCCACCGGAGAGUUCCACCUUCGCCCGAACCACCGUCCGCCGGAGAUAGGGUCGCCGUCGACGUGGUGCUCAUCGACGGCCAAGUCCACCACCCACCGACGCGGAAGGACACCCUGAACCCGUAGGUACCCUCCGAUCAACCUACCUCGCCGUGGAUCAACGCCGGCGACCACCGCAGCCUUCGGGCGCCGGCGAGCCCCGUUUGAACCUGACGGGUGGGACCCCCCCGUCAGCCUCUCUUUCUUUUCCUUCGAACCGUUUUCUGAAGGCGCCUUCGGGCAAAGUGUGUUUUCUCUCUGGGCUGGCGUAUUUCGUACCGAAGCGUUUUUUGCUUUUUCAAACAAGCCCCUGGAUACUUUCUGUUUCAUCACAGAUUAGUCCUUGGACUAAAACCCUUAUAUCUUUUUAACAGAAGAUGCUCUUUGAUUGAUUCUUUUUUUGUCAGUCUUAUAUUUUUGUCUAGUUUUUUAUAGUAUUUAUUUGGAAAAAUUUUGGAAUAAAUUUAUGCACGCAACGGUAUUCACGUUAGUAUCCGGUUUCUUUAUACCGUAGAUUCCGGAGGAGGUGACGGAGCCGCGAACUUCGCCGAGCUAGACUCCGACUUCUCCGAACCAGGCAAGCGUGUUUGAACCUUUGAUAUGAUGAGUGUUUUGCACAUUUGCUUAGUUAGUGCAUAGCAGGUUUAUGUAUGCAUUGGUGAGGGUCUCGUUGCAUGCAAGGCAACUACCCGUGUGCUUCGAAGUUUGAUGUGAUCUUUUGAUGGGAGAUGACCUGAUCAUGUGGUGACAUGAGAGGUGGUAAGAUGGUAUUGUUGUAGCAUGCCAGUCUUAUAUCAACCGUUAAACUCCGACGUUAACAUGGACUAAGCCACGUUACCGUUCAUUCCCUUUUCGUACUGCCACAUGUUUUCUGCAAAGGAUACAAUUUAGUAAGUUGCAAACCUCUUUCCUUGUACACACAAAAUAGAGGGGCCGGGAUGAGGGUUCCAUGGCCCUGGAUUAAAGCCAGUCAUCCGGUUAGGGGGCAUGGGUGUUUCCGGUUGGGACCGAGAGGGGGGCACCCCUUAGAGCGCGCGAUAUAAAUUUGAUCCCAUGCUACGCGAGGUUGUAGCCUCCCCGUCUCAAGGUUUUUCUUGAACGUUGCCUAGGGUGAUUCCUGGCAUCGGAAUGUGGAAUGGGUGUGUACUGGUUAGAUGUGUUUCUCCUAAAAUACCGUAAACGGAACUAGUCCCUUGUGACUACUGAAAUCCGUUGGCUGUGGUUAAGAGUGCAAACUCUGCAGAGUCAAAACCUUCCGAGUCAUCGUAUCCAUGGUCAAGGACCUAGGUCAAUGUAUCCAAACAGUAUCCAUGUCAUUCCUUGUGUCAGUCUCCGUGGAAAUCCCCAGUGAUCAAGCUUGAGUGGUAAACCCGGUUGAAUGUUAUUCCUGUGGAUGGACUAACCAUUUUAUCAUUUCGUACCUGAGUAUUUCAUUGAAAUGAUUUAAGCUCAUGAGCCACUGGAAUAUCAAGUCAUGAAAUAUAAGCCCUUUAUGUGAUGUCGCUCAGACGUCCGACUGUGGCACUCCUGUUAUUUACUUUUGAUAUAAGCCCUUUACGUGAUGUCGCUCAGACGUCCGACUGUGGCACUCUUGUUAUUUACUUUGAUAUAAGCCCUUUACGUGAUGUCGCUCAGACGUCCGACUGUGGCACGUACUGUCGUUUAUAUUCCAUUAUAAGCCCUUUAUGUGGUGUCACCCUGACGCCCGACUGCGGCAUUGUUAAAUUAUUUUUCUUUUUUACCCUUUCGAGGAGUCAUUUCAGACACUCGGUUGGCCUAAAGUAUUACGUUGGGAUUUCGGGAGGACUACCGCCCGACUUCCUUUUUAUUUUCCCUGCAUGGCUAUUUUAUUAUCUAAGUGCGCAUUACUAACCUGUUCAUGUGCAUCAUGCUUGCAUUUGUUAUAUCUUAUGUCCAUACUGUCUUGCGAGUACUUUCAUAGUACUCACCUGGCUUGUUGAUUUGGCCAGAUAUGGAUGAAGGCGAUCUCAUGGAUGAUGAGUUUGAUAGAGAGUCCGACGCCUAGCGGAGUCCCAGUCAGUCCCGUGCGAUCCUGGUUUUGGUCACUUGUAUUAUAUACGCUUCCGCCACCCACAAUAAAGUCCUCGAGCCUCACUCCGACGCUCGAUGGGCUGUAAGAUUUAGGAGUACUGUCACCCACUUCACUGUGACAUACCCACCACCACCUUUUAUUGCGAGUCAGUAGUUAUUCCACCAUACCCCCUUGUGUCAUAUCCGCCUUUAUGCAUAAUAUCGGCGUGCUUGUAAUAAAUUGUUGAGCAGCCUCCGCUCAACCUUGUAUUAUAUUUUAGUACUCCUGGAUGUUUCUAUAAUCAAGAAUUUGUUUACCAGUAAGAAGGAUUCUUCUCUACUGGUCCGUUUAAGGGAUCGGUUUCUCAAUAAAUGUUUUAUUGGAAAACCGGUCGUGACAUCGACUCUUGUGAGCCGUUUGAUGCAACAUGGAUGGCUAGAAGGGCUUCUUCAACCUCCAAAAUAGAUGCACGGUUCAUCUUCUCAGCCCGCCACACGCCUAACCGCCUGCCGCCGCCGCCGCGCCCUCCCCUGAACCGCCUGCCACCGCCAUGCUCCCCCCACCCCCGCCAUCAGUUUAACCGCGGGCACGAUCCAUUUUUUCCGGCGAAAUGCAUUCCACACCCAACACUCAUAAGAUAGAUCAUGGGCACCCUGCCGUCUUCUUCCUUCACUCCGUCGAACUUCUUUCACAAAUCGACUGACCCAAAUUAUACUAUUAGUACGAACGUAUUAACUAUAGUAGGAACACGAAGAUACGAGGAGUAGUACCAACUGCAAGAAGAACAGUAGUAAGACAUAGUACUACUACUACUGUACGUACUAAAGAGUUCAAAUAACGAGAAAGAACAUAAACAUAGUUCUGCUGGGGCCUCAGCACAACACACCCUUGAAAAUAAACUAAGCAACUAGUCCGCUUGACACUGCAGUAGAACCGGCAUGAGCGACGGCACUGCCACAUACUUGGAGUCCGAGUCCACGUCCUUGACUUCGUCCUCGUCCCUCUUCCUCUUCGCCGACGCUUCUUUGCUUGAACCGGACAUUGGGCUCUGCUUCUUCAUCCAACCCUUGUAGAUAUUUAAACAAAGGUAGGCAUCUAUUGCUGCGUACAUGAUGUGAUCUUCAUAUAAUGUCUUUGACUCCCAUGCAUGAUGAAACUCGUGAUGAAGUUUCUUCAGUUUAGCAUAUGAACGAUCAACAUUGCUGCUGCGAGGGUCAGCAUUGAAGGAUGAGAGGAGGACACCAGCCCUUCCUUCUGGAGGUCGAAGGAGUCGCCUACAACGAGGCCUAUCCGACCCAGGAUUUCCUUGUCGUUCCUAAAGUCUACAUUAACGAAUUUGACUCGGCCGCCCUUGAGGAACUUCUUAAAUUCCUCGCACUCAACGUCGGCAUGGCAUAUGUGGUAGACCAAGCAUAAGUCAUGCACGCAAACCUGGAUCACGGCGGGCUUCUUCUUCUCUGCCUCCUUUAGUUUCUUCUCGCUUCCCAGGACUGUGGUGUACUCAACAUCUAGCCCAGCGACCCACUCAUCAUUUGAGUUUUCGAACAUGCGUUUGAAGAGAGCAAGGCAUUCUUUCACCGUUGCGGAAGAACGGGUGUAGAUGACGUCGAACUCAUCGCCGGUGAUGGUUCUAACGUUGUACUCACCGCCGAUCAUGGAGAUUUGGGACGCCAUGGAUUUGGGAGGAGGGUUAGGAUUAGUGGAACUGCCGUAAUGUGAAAGGACGGGACGACUGGGAGCGAACUUUUGUAAGGUACUGUACUAGUAGAAGACGGGGACGAGUAGGGCGUGCGAACGGCGUGGGGUUGCUGGCUUGCCCGGUGGAUAAACGGCUGCAAGCCCCCAAAAAGUUCUCGAGAACUAUGCGGGACCCACUAGAUGUCAUGUCUACUAGACCCAUAUCGUAGGCCUGAUGGUAUAGCUUCUGCCUGUUCGCACGCCAUGCCGGCUUGUGUGUAACUUCAAUUAAUUCCGUCAACCAUCGCGCCUCCCACGACCUUCGCCUCCCUCGCGCGGUCGCGCCCUUUGAGACUUCGACUGGCUAUAAAUGAGCAAUUUUUUUGCCUACUCCGCAUGCAUGAUACUCCCUUUGGUCCUUUUUACUUCUGUCAACCGUUUAUACUAAAAAUAUCAAUAUCUACAAUACUGAUUAUAAUGAGUAUAAAGCACCUCUUGGGUGGGUUAGAAUUUUUUUGGGUUAGUUGAGUUCAAACUAACCCAAACUAACUCUAACACAUGGAUCCAAACAGGGCCAAGGUUAGCUAUUAGAGUACUACUACCUCCCUUCUAGUUUAAAGGGCUCGAUUCAAAAAUUUGACCUACUCUUAGAAAGAUAGAGGCGGUGGAAUAGUUUUUGUAGUUCUUCACAAAAAGAAAGUGUUUACUAAUGGAUGCAUGAACACUAGUUACUCUAACCCCCCUCUCUUCUUUAAUUCUUUGCCACAUCAGCAUGUUUGGUACCCCCGUGUGCAUGAUACCAGCUAAGAUACCACCAUUAUGGCCAGCCUUAAUCAUCGCAUGCAAUAAUUUAGUGCACCUUGAAAUAUGAACAUGUGUGGGGCGUGUAUGUUUUUAAUGACUUGAGACUAUACCUAGCCCGGCAAGCAAGAUGAGACUUAUUAUGCACCGUUCCCCAUACCUGCAGGAAGCCCAUUCGUCUCCAAAUCUUUUCCUCUCCAUGUGUGGAAACAAUAUGCCUGCCAGACUCUGCUUCUCCCUCCGGCGGUCCCACCGCUCCACCCUGUGUGGAAAAAAUCUGCAUGCAUGACUCUCCUCCCCCCGCACUCGUCCAAUCCGUUGUGACCAGCAUUAUUUCCACCCCUUCCCCAUAAUUUACUCCAAAAAAUAUGCCCACGUAGCUGUUACUUAACUGCAGGUGCAUUGGGUCACUGACAUAUGGGCCCAACAGGGUGUGGCCCACAUGUCAGUGACGCAACUGGACCUGCAGUUAAGUCAGUGCAGCUCAGUCCAUAUCUUACGUAGAUGUGCCAUUGCUCGCUAUAAAUACUGCGCCUCCCACGACAUCGCUAUCUCCUCCCCCUCACGUUCACAUUCAUCGCUAUCUCCUCCCCCUCCCUAGCUCCCUCUCACGUCGACCACCAUGGCAUCGCCCCUCCCAAGCCCUAGGCGCCCCUCGCUGCAUCGCGCGGACGGUCACGCGUCGUCGUUCCGUUCCUCGCCGCCACUAGUCGAGCAGGACGCGUCAGCGUUCUGCUCCUCGCCGCGACGAGACACGUCGCUGUUCCGUUCCUCGCCGCCACUAGUCGAGGAGGACGCGUCGGUGUUCCGCUCCUCGCCGCGACGCGUCGAGGUGGACGCGUCGGCGUUCCCAAUCUCGCCAGCACGCGCGUCGGAGGACGCGUCGGCUCCCCGCUACGAGGAGAACGCCGCGCCACCCGCCGAGCCCCCCAGCCUUGAGGAGCUUUGGAAAGAAAUGGAUGUCGCCUUGUGGGAGGCUUUGCCUCCAGCAGAGCGCGCCCAAAUAGAGGCGGAGAAGAUGGCCGAGGAAGAGAAGCACACCGCGGAACAAGCUGCCUGGGAGGCCUAUGUCGCGUCCGAGAGAGUCAGGCAAUUGGCUCUUUGGCAGAAGGCUCGUGCGAGGGCUGUGAGGGUGGUGGCGGACGCCCGUGCCGACGCCCUGAGUGCAGUCAGGCCCGAGCGCCUCAUCUACGCUUGGCGGUACGUGGACCGGGUGCACGCUUCCAGCGAGGAGGAGUACCUGUUGGCGCCGGAUCACCACACCGGUGAGAUCGCGCUCGCCCGCCGACAAGCCGCCAAUCAGCACCUCGCGAGUUGCGAGGCUGAGGAAGAGGCGUUGUGUCGGCGCGCUGGGAAACGGCCGCGCACCAGGGCACUUGUGGCGCCGCAAGCGCUCCUGCGAGCGCCGUGGCUUUUAGGAGGAGUAUAAUUUUUGUUUCGUAAGGUGAUCUCAUUAGUUUUGGGACGCAAAUGAUAAAUCCCGAACGUUCAGGAAUUAUUAGCGUCCUUAAUUAAGUAUGUAAAAGGGAAAGUUUGGAAACCUUGUGUAUUCGUACGCAUUUUGCAAGUACGUGCAUAUAGCACAAACUUUACUAUAUACUAUCGCACUACACGUCUCUCUCGAUAUAUGCUUGCAGACUGUGCUACUCCCUCCGUCCAGGUCAAUAAGUCAUCUUUGGUUGUGCACCGUAACCAAGAAGGAGGGAAGACUUAUACACCUAGACGGAGGGAGUACUACUAUUACCUAUGUACGUGCAAAUGCACGUUUUAACAUUACGAUGCGGUUUUUGUAAAAGUAGAAAAACAGCACUAGUCAAGCUUGUGAAACGAUUCAAUGCAAAACAAAUGCAAAAAUGCUCGUUUGAUUGUUUACUUUUAGCUUCCUUCUCUGUGGUUAUUUCUCUGUCGUACUUUGUACGGAGUAUCUCACUGGUUGGAAAGGCAUGCAAAUUCCCAAACCGCUUCCUACACCCUGUAUUGAAUUUUUUGCCUAACAAGUUGUGUCGUGCAAUUGGAAUUCCAACUUGAGUACUACUACUAGUAGGAGUACUAGGGGCCAGUUCUUUUAGGCUUCUAGAUUAGUAAUCCCAUAACUACUACCUUCAUCCUGGUUUAUUGGUCCCCAUUGUAAUCUGUGUCAAAUUUUGAUCAUAAAUUUAACUAAUGAAAUGUUAGUGCAUGUCACAUGCACUAACAUUUUAUCAGUUAAAUCUUUGGUCAAAAUUUAGCACAAAUUACAAUGGUGAGGAAUAAACCAGGACGGAGGUACUACUAGCAGUAGUUUAGAAGCCCAAAUAAAUGAGUGAGGCGCCUUAAUGUUACUCUCCACUGUGACUAGUCUUAUCGGAAAAGCUGGGGAAGCCGCCUAAAGAACUGGCCCUAGGAGUAGUAGCUAGGGAUCGAGUGUGCGAGAUGAACCGGAGAAAGCAAAUGCAGAGAGAUAAAAUGCAAAAAAGACGGAGGGAUGUGAUGGUUGCUUGUCCGUUUAUUUUACCAGGCCACUUAUUACUGGGAGUGGUUGGGUUUUUGUGAUAUGACGGCUUUACUGCCGCACCACGAGCGGGGUGAGACUCCCGUGCAGCGCCGCCCUCUACACUAGUACUACUACAUCGGUCGUGGUUUAUCCCCCAUUGAAUUUGACUGAAGAUUUAACUGACAAAAUGUUAGUGCAUGUCAACAAAAACAAUAUCGUUGGAUUCGUAUUUGAACAUAGUUUUCAAUGAUAUAAUUUUAGGUGACAUGCAUCAUCAUUUAUCGUACUAUAUAUAAUUUUAGUUAAAUUUUUGGUCGUACUAAUCUAUAGUAAGGUGCCCGUGCGUUGCACGGAAGAGUGAAAUGCAUUGAUUGGGGAGUUGUUUAUUUCUUAUAGUCAACAGUUGGCUAUACUAUUUAAGUAUUAACCAUGCCCUUAUACACCUAGACGGAGGGAUUAAAUCAGGAUGACUUGGAAGGGGGUAGAGGAUAUGUAAGAAAUGGUUCAUCAUAAGUAUUUCACCAGUACUGUAGUAAAAAAUCAUACAUGGAAGAUUCUAGAUUAAACCAUAAAUGGAUAUACUUUUAUUCAUGCGUGAUACUCCAAUAGAGCAAGAUCAUGCAUGGAAGUCUCCACAUGCUUAGACAGCGGAUUACAUUGAGCGAAGACUAAUGAUCAACAUUUAACUUGAUAAUGCAGAUGUCCAGGUGAACCUCCUUGGAGUCCCCGUGCACAUUGUUGGGGGUCAAAUAAUACCGUGCGUCUUCCAUGUCCACAUCGGCGGGAAAGUCCCAGCUCAGCAGAGUCCAAGUCAGCUUGGCGUAGCCAUUGUCACCGCCCACGUACCUCCGAGGGGUAGUAAUAGUGAGCAUGCACCCAUACAUCGGCCUCGUGUCAGUGUCAGCGUCAGCGGCGUCGCCCCUGACGCACACUACAGAGAUGUGGCGGCGGCCUGCGCGGGCCUCGCUGGUGGCCACGAUCAAGAGGAAGACGCUACCGUCCAACUCCGAGACUAGCAGGCGGCGCUGAUCCUCCAGCGACUCCGGCACGGUGAACGGGUAGCACGUCUCGUACUUGAUGUUCUUCGCCAAGGGCCAGUAGUGAUUGCCGCACGCCUGCGUCAGGUGAUGCACGAUGUCCGCCGGCGAGCCCCAAAACGGCACCGGACACUCAUAGCAGUAGACGAAGGGCUCCUUGGAGGCAUCGACCAGGCCGUCCAUGAAACGGGAGUGGCUGUAGGGGACGUUCCGCCAGUUGAAUAUAUGAGCAAGUUACUACGAGAUUUAGUCCGAAUAAGCACAAAAUAAAUCAUGAUGGCUAUAACAGAGAUUAAACUAAUCAUGCGGACUAGCAUAGUAGAUGAACAGAUCGAAUCUAGGACACAGACUAGAAACAUGAAUUCUACCACAAUUUCGAAUAGGAAGGACAGAACACAUACGGUGCAACGGGAGCAGCACCAUUGGCGUUGAGGUUGUCGCCCAUGUCGCUGAGGAAGAGGUUGCCGAGGUCGGGGAAGAAGUCGUCGUCGGUGAAGUCGUCGCUGCUAGCAGUCGCGAGAGUGCGCUCCCCAAAUUUCAACAGCGCCCGCCGAAUGGAGCGCGGGAGGGAGUGGCUAUAGGGGACGUUGCGGUCACCGAAUGGAGCGCGGGAGUAGCCCACGAAGCAGUAGAUGGUGCUCCUCCCUAGUCUCUAUUCUUAUCUCUAUCUAUACUACUCUUCUUUGUUUUUUAUAAUAUACUAGUUGUAGUUGUCAAAUCGAAUAGUACUGCGCCGUCCACUUACCGCCCGGCUGAACACACCUCCUCGCCUCCAUCAAACCCCUCCGUUAAACCCGCAUGCAAACCGAGAAACCUACUCCGGCCCGCGGGAGGAAAUUUGCCGGUUGCCGUUGGAGAAUAAUAGAGUCACGUCCAAUCCAUUUGAGUUAAUUGCGUGUAUGAUUCUCCCUCUAUAAAAAGUUAAUUGCAUCCUUAAUCUUGUAUUCUAAGUACUCUGUGGGACUGUCAGUACAGUGUACAUGACUUGCAGGCUGGCUACAGAUUCGUACAGAAAGUUAAAAAGAAACAAAUCCAUGACUUGCAGGAUUGGAGUUAGCACCGAUGGCGGUUCGUAGUCGUUCCACGCUCGGGCAUUGAAGUUUGUAACUAUCUACUACUCUUAUAAAAAACCGAGUUGGUGAUGAUGGUGUGCCUGCCAUCUUGUUAUAUAGACCGUCCGAUCUAUAUCUGACGGAUAGAAAGCAAACGACGACAAUUUUACAAAAGAUACCCGCACCUCUCUCCACAUUUAUAGAUAAGGCCUUGCCUCGUUCAUCCUUAUCUCCCACAAGAUAAACUACUCAUACAAAUGCAUCUUGAUGUUCCGUGCAACGCAUGGGCAUUUUGCUAGUUUUAGAUUGGAACAUACUACUCCUCCGGUGCUAGUAGUAGAGCAGAGUCCUACUCCACUACUACUCUACUCAAGCAAGUUAGGGCAUAUUCGCUUCUCCAUCUUUGUCCGCUCUUCCAUCCCCGCUAAGGCGCCUCCCCCCUCGUCCAAUCUUCCAUCCCCGCUAAGGCGCGUCCCCCCCUCAUCCGAAACCCAAGCACUAACAAUGGCAAAACCGAGCAGCGUCCGCCGAAAGAGUGGCUGGAAUUCGCUCCCCAUAGAGAUAAUAAAGCUCAUUGUUUCGUGUGUGGACAAUCUCAGUACCAUGCCGCUCGCCGCGUGCUCGUCGGGGCUGUACCGUUUACUCAAAGCCCUCAGGCCGAAGCUUUUUAAGCCAGCUCGUUGCUUGCUGAUGCUGCCUGAUCUUCAGAAACGAUGUGUCACGCAGCAUAACAAUCAUAGGGUGGCGAGCAUCAACCCCCUUGACUGCGAUCCGAUCCCCGUCACCCUCAACUACAUUAACGGUAUGUACUGGGUCGGCAUGAACACGUCUUGGAUGGUGCUCGUCGACGGUCACGGCAGCUGGAUGCUCGUGGAGGUCUACACCCAGCGAUUGAUCCCCCUUCCUUCGAUUAACACUGCACUGCUUUGGCACCGUGGCCCAGAAUACUCGGAAUCUUACAGUAGCCAACAUGAUACCAAGUUUGAUUUGCUCAAGGUUGUAAUCUGCCAAGUGCCCACAAGAUCUGCGAAUUAUAAAGACUUCAGGCUAAUUGCGUUCUUCAACCGUGGUCUCGCCUAUCUGACAGGUCACCGCGGUAAGUGGAUAAAUCUGCACGUCCAUCACAGGAUCAUACAUCCUCCAUGGUUCUCUGAUUCCAUUGAACACAAGGGCUUCAUUUACGCUGUCGACUCCUUCUAUGGCUGGACGUAUUGCUGGCCUACUCCAGUCAUCGCUACAAACGGCUGUUACAGAAGUAUGUUACUUUCCUAUAAUAUCAUGAUGGCUUGCUUAUAUUACUGUCAACAUUUACUGAAAAAUAUUCAUGCUCAUAACAUGCUGUUCUUAAGAUUGACUACAUCAAGAGCCCUUUUUUAUUUGACUCCAACUUUUUUUAGGGUUAUUUGACUCCAACUUGAUGUGAUGUUGUAGGCCGUCUGGUGUCCCUACCCUUCCUAAUCCCAGAACCUUUCAAAGAAAAGCGGCAUGGCAGUUGCAGGUGGUUCCUGGCUCGAUCAGACAACAACGAAUGAUUGAUGAUCGUUCGCACGUAUCGGACGUGUUGUUUCGCGGAAUACAAUCACAGUCACUGCAAGGUCUUUGAGCAGGAUCCCAGCUUCUCUGGGCCUUCAGGAAUUUUAGACUGGAGGUUGGUAAGUAGCCUUGGUACACGCUCUCUGUUUGUCGGACGGAAUUAUCCGAUUAACCAGGAGAUAACCGACGGCAAGGAUGAUGAUGGCAGCGCGGUUUCGUUCAUCAGGCAAAACUGUGUGUACACAGCGUACCAUGCGUCUCUGCAUGCACCAUAACCUGAUAUGUGCCGCCAUGCUCUGCAACCCAAAGUAGGAGAGAGGGUCGCAAGUAUCAGACUUCGACCUGCUGGCUGGAGUUUCCCCCGUCAGGCACCCAUCUGGUUCAAGUCGUCAGCCAAUCUCCACAGCUUAAUAAAUAGUAACGUCUAACUGAGCCAGUUAGUUAGAUGCGUACACUUGGUGUAGUAGGAUCUUUAUUUAGUUUGAUGCAUACACUUGUUCUUUUUUGGUAGCCCUUUUGUAAUGAUGGCUGAUGUUUGGUUUGGAAGAGAGAGUUGCGUCUUCACUCUUCUAGCCUGCUUACUGCUUCUGUUGCACCCCCAGCCCUACUUGCUGCUGCUGCUGUUUUCAAUGUACAAUCAAUAGUAUAUUUCGUCUGUUGGUUGAAUAAAUGUGUUGUUAGAACGACAAACACAAUGUUUUGGAAGUCGUUGCACAGUUCGAUCCUUUAGUGCCCCGUACCGUACGUAGCGCAUACUAUUUUUCGUACGGAACACAUUUUCCACUUGUUGAUAACAUGCAGCCCACUGAUGAAGGCCCAAUAGAGAAGCCCAUAAUUAACUGGAAGGGAGGCUCUCACAUGAAUCCGGCCGAGGUACAUGCUCAUGGUCCCCUAAACAUAAAUAAGUAAAUAAAUAAAUAAAGCUAAAUGCUCAUGCACCAGUUAUUUAAAUUCAUGAUUUAACAGGAGGAUAUUAUUUCCUAUGAUAGUGUCGUUACAUUCAGUCGAUAUUAUUCUUCGGCAAAGAUAGCGACCAGUCUUCUUUCUCCCAACAUUUUCUUCCUGCAACUAGCGGACCCAUGCAAAUCGUAGUCAACGUCGUAAAUAGAUCCGGUCCAUUUUUAUUUUUCAAUAAGAAUGUCCAACCCAGCCCAGCACAUUGGCGACAACACUUUAUCCUCCGCCUUGGUGCGCUCGCCGCGGCGCCGCCGUCCGGCCCUGUCAACAUUUUUUUUCUUUUCAAAACGGUCCCUGUCAACAUAGUGAAUCGGGAGAGGACUGUAGUUGUGAGUAUGAUAGUACAGACCCACCAGGUCCACUCCCGAACACAAGCAAGCGCCUCUUUUACUACUCAGAUGAACCCCUCUUUUUUUUACUCUAAUCCACCUGCUGAAAUCUGGGACUCACAUCAUUUUCAACGUAUAGUCAAUUAACGACAGAAUUGCACAACUUUUUUUAGUAGUAAUUCGGAGGAGCAGGCUAUAAACUGGGUUGUGCGGUCUCUGUGGCCCGUCUAACAACAUGACCAGCCCAGCAGUUUUUUCUUUGGGAAAAUAGGAAGCCCAGUAUUUCUUUUUGAAGAAUACCCAAGCUAGGCCUAUUUGUUUUCUCCGACUUACUGGGCUGCAAAUCUUUCAAGAUGAGGAGGGAUGCAUUCCAGCCUGGCCAAAGAGUAUGGUCAGUGUCUAUUAAAAGUAAUAUCAAAAGGGGUUGAAAAUUCCAAAUAAAUUAUAGCAAAUGGGAUAUUAGUUUCUUUUUUUGUUUUUGUUCUUCACUGAUAUCUUAUACAUAUUUCAUUGGAUUUAACAUGACAUAGUACUAAUUUAUUUUUAAAUUUGUUUAGUAUGGCAACUAAUUUUUGGAUUAAGAAUAUUUUGUUCCCCAGCAAAAAUUUGCGAAUUUUCAAAAUUUCUCACAUAUUUGUUAAUUUUUAACCCUGGUACUGACCAGAAAAUGGGCAGCGAUUCUAAAAAUGGAAAACGGGCUGCAAUAAAUUCCAUAUGAAUUAGAAAAUGAGUAAAAAUUAUAAAAAUAAUAGCAAAUGGGCUAUACACGCCACAGAUUUUGAGGCUGACUUGUUUACGCAAGGCUUUGUCAGUCAACACACGAUUCUAGCAGCAGUGACUGUUGGAUGUCCAUCCAACGGUCGACGUGCUUCUUCAAUAUCUGAUCUUCCUGCUCCAGCCGCCUAAACUAGCGCCGGCGGGACUGCCUGCUCCCUCCUCUUGUGGCCCGCUGUGAUGCUGCGCAGGCUUCCCCGGCAUACCCUACUCCCUCCGUUGGCCUGGCCGCACGCAAUCAACUGCCUCCUUAUUACAAGAAAAAAAUGAUUCCUCCCACUGACAUCUGGGGCGCACCGGUUGGGAGGCUGGCCUGUGGGCCUACUAAGUUGACGCGUACGCAGGGCUUGUCAACUUAGUCAACAAACGAUUCUAGCAACAGUAACCGUUGGAUUUGAAUCGAACGGUCCUGCUGCUUCUUCAAUCGCUGCUCUUCUUGCACCAGCCGCCCAAACAAGCGCCGGCGAGACCGCCUGCUCCUGCCUCCAGUGACCGGCUGUGCUGCCGUUGAGGCCUCAUCGCCCCCUACUACUCCCACUGCUAUCCAGGCCCUGCGGCGACGGCAGCCUCACACCGCAGCCGAACUAGUGAACCCUCGUACUCCUCUCCGCGUGGGCAUCCACUGUCGCGUCGUCCCCUUCCUAGGCCUCGCCGUCGUCCACCGCCUUGGUGCUCUCGGCGCGGCGUGGUCAAUGUGGUCAACGGCAGACUUCCAUCGGAAGAGUACUCUACGUGGAGAGGCUGACAGCUGGGUCCACGGCCACAGCCCAGUUUUUUGUGAUAUGCCAAGUAAAUCACUUUGUCAGGCCUGUUGGGCUGCAAAUCUUUCAAGACGAGGAGAGCUUUCAUUUGGCUGGCCGAGAAAAUGGCCUAUCAGUAAUGAGAAAUGGGAUGUACAUUUUUAAAACACGUUAAACCGGCAAUUAGUUUCAAAUUUCUUUUUUUCAUUUUGAGAUUUUAAAUUACAUUAAUUUUUAUGCGUGGACAAUUUGUUGGAUUUUAUAUUGAUAUACAUUUUUUUUCUAAAAUCAGUUUGAAUGUGACUCGAAAUUCCGGGAUUAAAAACAGUUCGGACCGCACCUAAAUAUGCAAAAUUUCGUAUAAUUUUUUAACCGUGGCCACAAUAUGGGCUGUAAUGCUAACAAAAAGAAUAUAGGCUCCAAAUUUUUUUUAAGAAUUAGCAAAUGGGCUGUAAAUAAUUACAAAUAAUGGCAGAUGGGUUUUAUGCUGUUUUCCACAGAUUUGAGGCUUUCCUAAAAAAAGGUUGACGCACAAGCAGUGACUGUUGGAUGUCCAUCCAACGGCCGUCGUGCUUCUUCAAUCUCUGCUCUUCCUGCUCCAGCCUCUCAAACAAGCGCCGGUGGGACUGCCUGUUCCCUCCUCCCCGCGGCCGGCUGUGCUGCCGCGUAGGCCUCACCGCCCCACCGUACCCCCAUCGCUAGCCUACCCAUCCCUCUACUCACCCACACCUGUUGUUAUUCUCCGGCGAUGGCAGAUGAACCAGUAAACCCUCGUACAGUCGUACUCCCCUUCGCGUGGGUACAACUGCCGAGUCUUCCCUGCCUCCGUGUCUUUCCCUUCCUAGGCCUCGCCGUCGUCCACCGCCCUGGUGCUCUCGGCGUGGCCUGGUCAACAUGGUCAACGACCGACAUGCAUCUGAAGUGGACUGUACGUGGAGAGGCUGACAGCUGGGUCCACGGCCGCACGCAAGGAAAUGCCUCCUUAUUACGCGCAAAAUAAUGAUUCCUCCACCUGACAUCAGGGACCCACCGAAAGGGCCUCUGUACUUCGCGAAAAAAACUUUACCGCCGCUGACAGCUCGGACCCACCAGCUAUAUCUUCGCACGCAAGAAAGUGCCUCCUUAUUACGCACAAAAAAUGAAUACUCCCCCUAUUAGCUGGGACCCAGUAUAGUGGCAGGCUGACUUGUGGGCCUACUAAGUUGACGGGGACGGAGGGCUUUGUCAACUUAGUCAAUAUGCACGAUUCUUGCUCCAGUGACCAUACGAUGUCCAUCCAAUGGCCGUAGUGCUUCUUCAACCUUUGGUCUUCUUGCUCCAGCCGCCCAAACCAGCGCCGGGCGUGCCUCGUGCUCCUGCCUCCCGUGGCCGGCUGCGAUGCGGCGGAGUCCUCACCACCCCCUACUACUCCCACCGCUGGCUAGGCCAUCCCUCUACUCACCCACACCCCCUGUUAUUCUGCGGAGACAGCAGCCUCACACCGCAGCGAACCAGUGAACCCUCGUACUCCUCUACACGUGGGCAUCCACUGCCGCGUCUUCCCCGGCUCCGCGUCGUCCCCUUCCUAGGCCUCGCCGUCGUCCAUCGCCCUGGUGCUCUCGGCGCGGCGUGAUCAACGUCGUCAAGGAAUGGCUUCCAUCAGACGUGGACUGUACGUGGAGAGGCUGACAGCUGGGUCCACGGCCGCAGUAAGGAAGUGCCUCCUUAUUACGCGCAAAAUAAUUAUUCCUCCACCCGACAGCGGGGACCCACCGGACGGGCCACCGUAUUUCACAAAAAAUACGUUUCCCCCUGACUGCUGGGACCCACCAGCUACAUCUUCGCACGCAAGGAAGUGUGUCCGGGUAAAAAAAACGAUUCACCCGCCUGACUGCUGGGACCCACCAGCUACAUCUUCGCAGGCAAGGAAGUGCCUGACAGUCGGGACCCACCUGGUCGAAGCGUACGUAGCGUUGUCAUUCUGGUCGCGAACGUGUACGUACAUACUGGUCGAUGAAGAGGCGCGCACGUGUCGUAGUAGAGGCGCGCACUAGCAUGUACACGUACGUACAGCGGCCAGUGUGCAAGAAAGAAAAUACAGCCACGAACGUACAUAUGGGCAGGGUCUCGAACGCCUACUCGCGCAUACGUACGGCCAGGGCUCGUGUACAUGACUGGGUCGGAACGGAGAAACAGCAUCGUCGUUGUGUUCAUGGGGAGCCAACCAGCUGGGUCGGAACGGAAUGCGUCGUCGUGUUCAUCGGGAGGGCUUGGACGGAACAACCGAUGGAAACGAGGCCCGGCGCACCGCGGAACGGAGGAAACGGCCUUGUAUUCGACCAGCCACAUUCGAAACGGGAUCCUGUUCAUCGGGAGGGGUCUGGCGUACCGCAAAACGGAGGAAACAGACCUCCUACGGUCGAAACGGGGGUCCUGUUGAUCGGGAGGGGUGUGGCGUACCGCAAAACGGAGGAAACAGACUUGUGUUGGAGCGCUACGGUCGAAACGGGGGUCCUGUUCAUCGGGAGGGGUGUGGCGUACCGCAAAACGGGACUCCACAGGAUACUAUUCAUCUCCACUGUCGACCCCCUCCAGCCUCCACGGGCUACUUUUCAUCCACCGUCGACCUCCUCCAGCCUCCACCUGCGACUGUUCAUCCACGGGCUCCUGUUCAUCUAGCCUCCACCGCGCGCUACUCCACCGGCUACUGUUCAACCAGCCCUCUCCACGGGCUCCUGUUCAACCACCCCUCCACGGGCUACUGUUCAUCCAGCCCACCACCGUCUACUGUUGGUCCUGCCCUCCACGGGGUCCUGUUCAUCCAGCCCCAACCGGAUUGAUCGAUCGGGGUCCUGUUCAUCGAGAGGCAACACCACGGGGUCCUGUUCAUCCACCCCCACUAGGAACUGUUCAUCCACCCCCCCAGCAACGCUCACUGUUCAUCCAGAGGCAGCAUCGAUCGGCUUCAGUUAGCAGCAGUAGCGAAGGAAUCGCUCGAUCGGGUUCAGUUAACAGCCAUCGAUCAAUCGCUCGGGUUCAGUAACGCGUAGCCUGCAGUGCAAUCGCUCGGGUUCAGUUAGAGCCCAACGCCUCACUCGGGUUCAGUUAGAGCCCAAUGCCUCGCACCCACGCGCGUGCGUGUACGAGAGAAACGCGCAUCGCUCGGGCCCGACCACCCACCGUAACCGGGAACACCCUGAUAUUUUCCUCGCCUUCGCUUCUACCACGGUUUUUUCCGUCAUGGACGGCCCAAAGAAUGUCAUGCAGCUGCGUCUCCGGCCCGCCCAGGACGAAAAGCCGAUUUUCUGUCAUGAUUUUUUGUCAUAGAAGUAGGACCCCACCACAUCUACGAUGAUACUGGGUUUUGUCAAAGUUAUCGUCAUAGAAGUGUCAUAAGUAUGACAGAAAAAAAA
rnacentral:lncRNA from 1 species